AUAGUAACCAAGCAAUCUCUUCUCUUUGGCAUAGGCGAUCUUAGCUCUAACAGCCUCCACAUCAUCAAAACCAAACCAAACCGUCCCAGUGGAGAAGUAAUUCACCACAUAAGUUGAAUUGUACAUAACUUGAACAUUAGGACCAUAGGUCUUGAUGUGAUUCUUGAUAUCCCUAUAGGUCACAAAGCCACCAUUACUCAAAGCUGGUCCUGUUGCUGCUGCUCCAAUACCAUUGUCUUCAGAUUUCACAAGCGUCCAUGCAUAGCCGUAGAAAGGCAAACACAAAACCAACUUAUCAGCCGAUAACCCUCUCUCAAUCCAUGCCUUUAAAACCUGAUCGGUACUUCUAGCAUAGCCGCCGCUACUUGAGCCAUACAGAGCUGCAUGUGCCGCAGUGAAGUUUGUUGACAUAGGCUCGUAGUAGUUAGAAGUAACAACAUGAACCCAAUUCAAGUUUCGUUGCAUCGAAUUCACAAGGUACGAAUUGUCUGGUGGUGAAUAAUGAAACCCUGCGGUCAAGAUCAGCUGGGAUUGCUGGCGGCUAGAGCUUUUUGCCUCUAAUUGUGUGGCAGCAGCUCGCCACUCGUCAAAGAGUAUGCCCAUAUUGAGCAUAUCGGUGCUUGUGUUAGGAGCUGUCCAAGCAAAAUCUAGGCCCUGAAAGCCAUAAAGCCUAGCUAUUCUUAUUGAAGAGUCGAUGAAAGAUUUUCUGUGAGAAGAAUUUCUCACCAUUGAAGAAUAUAUAGAAUUGUUUGUAUAUAUUCCUCGUCCAAUGGAGAGAAGUGUAGUGAUUGAUGGGUUCUUUUGUUUCACAGCGUCUAUAAAUUUGGGGAAUAUUUGAUUUCCAUCAAACGGUGAUGAUAAAGAUAGCUGGUAAGUGGUGGAAUUGAUAUCAGCGUAAGAGCAAAUAAGGUGAGUGAAGAGAUCAUAAUUUAUGCGCGAAAUGGCGGACACUUCGCCUGAAUACAAGUAACCGACCCUGAUCCACGGUUUUGCUUUCGCGGGAUGAAGUUCUGAAUAGAACAACAUGUGGAAGAUGAUGCUGAUAAUUAUGGAUGCCAUUUGAGAGGCUUAAGCUUCUUAAUUACCACUUCGAUGGGAAUGGAAAUGAAUGCACACUAAGAGAAAUUAAAUAAACACAAGUUUCACAGUUCAUUAAGUUCUCAUGUGUACUACACAUACAUUGCAUGUUAAGAUGAUGAUGGGCGAUGCGACCAUUGCCGGAGAACUAAGAUUUUCUUCUAUCGCCUGUGUGACUUUUCAUGAAGAAACAUGAUGUUUUGAUUGACAUUUGGUUAAACUGAUGACAUAUUUCGGGCUACAAAUAUUAGUAUUGUUUUAUUAAAUAAAAAUAAUAAUAAUUAUACGUGCAUGUUGAAGGUAAUAUUGCAGUCUUUUGAGCCUGUGUUGAAUUUCAUUCAUUAUUACGAGCGUUCAUUUAUUAUCCAUCCCCUUUUUUCUCUGUGAGUCUGCUAGCUGUAGUCAUCUUAAAAGGAUAACAUGUUUAAUGCGUGUAAAUGCACCUCAGAAGUAGUUAAGAAAGACUUGAUCAAACCAGAUAAUUUUCCUCUUAACACAGAAGUAGUUAUCGGACUAAUUAAGAUUCUAAUCCAUUUAAGAAAUAUUCAAAAAGGGUUAUUGUCACUACUUUAGUCCUUGUUGUUUUAUUAAAGAAAGAAACAAAGAAAAAAAAAAGAAGAUAUUUAAAGAAGCAUCACAUAAAUCCUUCCUAAUUAGAUUUUGUUUCAUUCAAGUUCUUGACUUAAUUUGACUGCUUGGAAAAAUUAGUAAAAAGGUAACAAUUAAAAAAAAUGUAAAUUCUAGUUAUUAGACUAAAUAUAUAUAAAUUUGCAACAAGUAGCAAAAGUUUAGAAUAUGAAAAACCCUAUUUUGUUUACGAAAUAAAGAAAAUUCGAAUCAUUUUUAAAAAAAAAAUCUCUAAAAGUUUGAAAACUAAGAUUUUAAGGUCCUUCUAGACUAACCAUAAAUAACAUGAAUUUACCAAAUUAAGCAAACUUGAAUUAUUAUUACACAAUAAAAUUUAACUAAUGGAAAUAAGAAAACAAAAUAAAUAACACUCAAAUUCGAUAUCUAAAAAAUAAAGAUAAAAAUAAUGAAAGCAAUAGAAAAAAUAAAAUAAAAUAAAAUAACUAAAACUUGCAAAAUGACCAUGAAAGAAAUAAUUUUUUUUUGCUGAACCAAAGGGCCGAUACGUAUAGCCCUAUUGUACUAGAUUCAUCUCGCCGCAAGUUUCAAAACAAUAUAUUAUAUGUUUUAAACGAACUCUUAUAAAUUAAGUUAUGACCUUAAAAAAAUUCCUACUCAUCUUACAUAAACAUCCUAUGUCACUAUAUAGUUAUACAAUAAUAAUAUAAUCCAAACACUCAUGAAGCAUAACUCAUGCACCUCCACUAAUAACCGUGAAAUUUAAUCACAUUUUACAAGAGAGAGGAAUGUUCUCAUUUAUUCGAUUUUCUGCUAGGUUGUGUUAGGUUGGGCUUUUUAGAAUUUCUUUGACGAAAAGUCAUUCUCUUCAACGGCCAAAACUUGGGCUAGUGGGCAAUUAUGAAAGUCCAUUGGAUGCAUUGGACCAAACUAAAAGUCCAAAUUUUUUUUUAUUCUUGCAAAAAAAAACUAUAUCUGUAUAUUCUGUUCAACAAUCCAAAACUUGGGCCAAUGGGCAAUUAUGAAAGUCCAUUGGAUGCAUUGCAUCAAACUAAAAGUUAUAUAUAUAUAUAUAUAUAUAUAUAUAUAUAUAUAUAUAUAUAUAUAUAUAUCAAUAAAUGAAAUGACACAAUACAGUUGGCUUGCCGUUGCAAAGCUUCUUUGUUUGUUAUUAUUUAUUGGCUUAUUGCAAUAAAGACUAAAGAGAGCUUUGAGCCAUGCAGCAUGGGAAGCUCCAUUAAAAAAAAUAAAAGAAUUUAAAGCUUCAAGGACAUAAAGCGUGCCCACCCAAUUAAAUUUUUCUUUAAAAAAGAAAAAAAAAAGGCUGAAAUUGCAAUGACUUGAAUUUAUCAUCAAUUCUGGCUUAAUUUGCCCCCCGUCAUUUUUUCAAGGAGAAUGUCCAACUCAAUUGUGACGGCUACUGCUUCAAUUUUAAUUUUAUUUUUCUCAAGAAUAGUCAUUUUCAUCCACCAUAUUCCUGCAUCCUGAUGCGUCCUUAUUGCUUAUAUUAUUAUAGACCACUUUUGGAAGCAUAACAAUUUUUGCACACAUGGUCUCCAUCUUGCGGACCCAAAUGUUGAUGAUAUACUUGCAUGCUCCAAAAUGAGCCCUUUUAAUAACUUAUCAUCUGGUAAAUGAUAGUUUAUUUAUUUAUUACAUUUAAUAACUUAUCAUCUGGUAAAUGAUAGUUUAUUUAUUUAUUACAUAACAAAUAUGUUAUGCCAUAUGCCACCUAUUAGUGAAAGAUGUUUAAAUAACUACUCUUGUAGUAAACUCCUGAAUGAUGGCAAGUUAGAUUUAGACUUAAUGCACUAACUUCGAUAUAUAUUUUUUUUUUUUACAUGGUAAUUAUUUUCUUCUCGCUAGGAAGUUGCAAUGAUUGAUAAUACGGGAGCAUUUUGCUUUAAUACAAUCCUUAAUUGAAGAGUUUCUAGAGAUGUUUAUUAUUAUUAUUAUUAAUACCGCGUUGGUCAGGAUUUGAUUACUAUAAUAUUGACGAUUCGAUUUCUAACAAUUUUGUUUAUUAUAAAAUUAAAACAAAUGAGUAGUCAUCUAGAAAAUCAUAAUCUCUUUAAAGGCAUCAAAAGGCAAUGGCAAUGUAAAAUGAAUGUGAAUCUAUUAGUAACAUGUUUACACGUGUAUUAAUCUUAAAAUAUUUAAAUAAAUAAACCAUAGAUUCUUGGUUCCAAUAUGAGCUUUAUAGUUAAGGAGACCCACUGCGUAUGAUGGACUAGUGAGUUGUGAGAGAAAUCUCUUAGGCCGAAAGAAUCUUAAUCAAAUCGUAUCAUCAUAAAAAAAUUCCAAAUUUUGUUUUCUUCUUUUGACAAAAACCCUCGUUCAAAAUGAUUCAUAUAAAUUUAUCAAUAAAAGAUUUUGAAUCAAUUAGAAAAUGGAAUUGUCUUGCGCACAUCUUUUGCUCGAUCGUUCAGUCCUUAAUCAUGUUUUAAUUAUAACCCAAACACGACAAUGACAUGUACGAUCUACAUAAAUCCUCGAUAUUAAUUGUCAAUUGGUUCUGCGAAUUCAAUGUGCAAAGUCUCACAAGUCAUAAUAAAUUUAGGAAUGAAAAGUACGAGCGGGUAGCAAGAAACCAUCACUCAAUUCCAAUUGAUAUGUACACUUCAUUCAUUUUGUCUUUUACAUAAAUGGAAAAACUAAAAAGCGUAACAAUUAUUAAACACAUGCCCACUGCCCUGCCACUCGGCCAAAGAGGGGCCGUUGCUCUCUUACAUUGGUUCAAUGAAGGGAUUCAUUGAAGGGUGUUUCGACGACGGGAGCGGCAUUAAGAUGAGUGAUCACUUGAAAAAUCUUUGAAUUGUACCUCUCUUUUUAAACCAACGAGCUCGUAGAUCAGUUGGUAUAGAGUUGUUUUAUUAUAAUUAAAAUUUUAGGUUUAAGGUUUGAAAAUGCUGUUAUGUUAAAAUAUUUGUUGGGAGAAUUUUGUCAUUCUAGCGUUCAUAUCGGAUUCGAAUCUGAAUUAAUCGGAGUUUAAUAUAGUCUUUGAAUAUCAUAUGAUUUAAUACACAAAAAAAAUGAAGGAAUUCAUCUCUCAAUUAUUAUUAAAAAUAAAAAUGCGGGAUGUGUAUUUCAGUGUAAAUAAUGACAAUAAUAAUAAUACAACACAUCCCCAUCAAAAUCUCCAUCAAAAACCUAGCUGAUGCUGAUGCUGAUGCUUCUGCAGAUUCUGAUUCCCCCUCCCUUUUAGCCCAGGAAGCAGAUGAUGACAGCAUCACGGUACAAGGAAAGAAAGAAAGAAUAUCAUUAUACUCCCACAUCUUCUUAAACGUUGUGCCCUCUAUAUGCACAUAUGCAUGUACAUAUUAAUUAUUAUCAUAUUGUAGUAAGUAAUGUUUUAGCUUUCGACAUUAACAACAUUGUGAUUAAUCAUAAUGCCACAUUAUACAGUUCAAAUAUGAAAGGUUAUGAAAUUAACUUCUAUAUACAAAUGCGUUACAUAAAGUGCGCGACAUCGUUCUUUUUAAUACAUACAGUAAAUUAAUGAAUAAUCAUUCGUAAAAAAAAAAUGUUGUCCGAUAGUGAAUUAGCUAUACAAGUAGAGCCUCUACAAAUUAACAGGGUGAGACCAUAUGAAAUCUAUUAAUUAAAAAAGAGAUUAAAUAAUCAAUAAUUUAUUAAUUUAUUAAUUUACAGAGUUAUUUAUAAUUCAAUUAACAUACAUCAACAAUACUUCAUAAUUUCCUAUUACAAUUUGAGAAGUCAACCGCAGGGCUUCUAGGUGUUAAGAAAAAUAAGAGAUUGAGGUCCAAUUAGAUUUAAAUUUUAAGAAAAGAACAAGUAACAAUAUAAUCAUAUUUUAUGUAAGUAAGUGAUAAUAGAGUCAUAUUUUAUUCAAUUAAAAUAUUAUAGUCAACUACAUUUAUAAUUUCAGUAAAUUAUUAAUUUGUGAUUUGAAUAAGACGAUAAAGUUAUAUAAAUUUUUUAAAAAAAAUUAUUAUCGCAUUAUUUUAUUAAAAUUAUUAAUUUUAAUGUAUUGUCAUAAAAUUGUGUGAAUUUGUUAUAUAAUAGAUAUUAUUAAUUUACCGAAUAUCAAUUGAUAGAGAUUUUAUAGCAUGAGUACCUAAAUUUUGACGAAAUAAAUGAACAUUUGUUUGUACCUUGCAGGUAUGUGUCCGUUUAAUAAUAGUAUAAUGUACUUUUUUUCUUUUUUCCUUCUUACGACAAAAAGUUAAGUAGAUUUUGAGGUCCAGUCGUAAAGAGACAACUUGGGUAAUUGUGUUUUUUUGUAAUGUGCGCAAUUGCUAGCUUUUCCGAUGAUUUUGAUUUGGGAUUGCGUUGUAUAAUUUGCACAAUCAUCUCCUUCACCUUUGGAUUCUGUAUCUCUCUAUUUUGUGCUCUUUCUCUCUGAAUGGUAGCCACAUAUACGACUCUCUUUGCUCUGAAUACAUGAAAUUAAGGGUGGGCGCGGUUCGGUUCGGUUCGGUUUUUUACUAAAUUUUUCAUAAUCGUUCGAUUACGAUUAUUUUAAAAUCAUAAUCGCGAUUAAUCAAAUUACUGAAAUAAUCAAAUACUCAAUUAAUUGAAAUAAUUUGAUUCGGUUCGGUUCGAUUAUUUCAAUUAUAGGCCUAUUGGGCCUAUUUUGAGCUUUUUUAAAUUUAAAACCUUAAAUUAAUAAAUCUACCACAAACAUAAAAAGUUAACAAACAAAAAAUCAAAAAUAUGUCUCGAACAAUGUUCAAAUAACAAGUUCAAAUCAAAAUAAAUCAUAAUCCCAAUUACUCCUCAGUUGCUUGUUCUUGUUGAGCUAGUAUUGGCCUACCAAAUUCUACAUUAACAAAUUAAAAAAAAAUGUUAGAAUGAUUAGUUAAAAGUGAAAUAAUCAAAACAACAUAUCAAAAUAUAGUAGUAACAUAUUACCUGCUUCAAUAACUUCAUAGAAUUCAGUUCCCUCUUGAGUAGGUUGUAUUAUCCGUUCUCCUAAUAGAGUUGAGCAAAGCCAAUUUUGAGUGCAAAUUAAUGACUCAACAGUUUUAUGAGUUAAAGAACUUCUAAAAGGAUCAAGAACACGCCCUCAUGUGCUAAAUGCCGAUUCCGAAGCUAUAGUAGACACUGGAAUUGCCAAAACAUCCUUGGCAAUCUGAGACAAAAUUAGAUACCUAUGCCCAUUCAACUUCCACCAAGUCAAAAUAUCAAAAUGGGCAUUACUAGUACUCUCAUUAGCAUCCGUCAAGUACUUUUCAACAUCAUUUUUCGAACUAAUGUCAUCAUUUGAACUUUGCUUCAUCAUUUUGAAAGAUGAAAAAAGAUCAAUUGACAUUAUACUACUACUAGCACUAGCACCACCACCACCACCACCACCACCACCACCACCACCACCACUACCACUACCACCAUCAUGGAUAUCACCAAAACAAACACCACCACUAUUCCUCACAUCACUCCCACCAAUAUAGCUAUUAUAUAGCUUCAUCAACAACUCCUUAAUAUUAGAUUUCAAUUCUUCAACCUUCCUAGAUUCAUACAUGUUACUAAAACAAAAUGUAACAAACUCUAAUUUACAUCUAGGAUCAAACACAUUUGCUACAAAUAAUAACAUGUUAACCUGAUCAAAAGAAUCACCACUACCACUACCACCAUCAUGGAUAUCACCAAAACAAACACCACCACUAUUCCUCACAUCACUCCCACCAAUAUAGCUAUUAUAUAGCUUUAUCAACAACUCCUUAAUAUUAGAUUUCAAUUCUUCAACCUUCCUAGAUUCAUACAUGUUACUAAAACAAAAUGUAACAAACCCCAAUUUACAUCUAGGAUCAAGCACAUUUGCUACAAAUAAUAACAUGUUAACCUGAUCAAAAGAAUCACCCCAAUAUUUAGCAAACAUUUGUUCCAUUUUUUCGACCAUUUUUCUUAACAAAUCAUCACUAGAAGUAGCAAGUGACUUCAAAUUAAUUAGAACUUUUGCCAUUUCAUUUAAGAAAUCAUUGGAAGUGACAACAAGAGAGCUACUAAAUUUCAAGGUCACAUAAUAAAAAACCGAUAAAAAUUUGACUAACCUCCUUGCAUUUCCCCAAUCGUCAUUGCUCGGUGGCCCUUCCCUCUUUUUUUCACCCUCCUCCUCAACAAACCAAUUAACAUAAUGUCCAUCAUCUUCCUUCAUCCUAUCAAAUGCUUUUUCAAAUACAAUCGCCUUAUGCAACAUCAAAUAUGUUGAAUUCCAUCUAGUAGGCACAUCCAACACCAUAAGCCCUCCAUAUGAGAUUUUCUCCCUAUCAACACAUGUUUUAAACUUUUGCAAUCUUACUGGAGAGGAUCUAACAUACUUUACUGCAUUGCAAAUACUAGCUAUUGAAUUAUUCACCUCCACCAACCCAUCUUGCACAAUCAAAUUUAUUAUGUGUGCCGAACACCUCACAUGCAUAUAUAUACCAUUCAAAAUCAUUGAAUUCACACUCCAAUUUGCUAACUUCUUCUUCACAUAAGUUAUUGCAACUUUAUUGGCACUUGCAUUGUCCACUGUAAUUGUGAACAACCUCUCAAUCCCCCAAUCAAUCAAAUAUGUCUCAAUUAGCUUCCCAAUACCAUCUACUUUAUGAGUAGCUAUAGGUGUGAAACUAAGAAUCCUUUUGUGCAACACCCACUCCGCAUCAAUAAAAUGAGCAGUAAUAACCAUGUAGUUAGACAUUUGAAUUGAUGUCCACGUAUCUGUGGUAAUACACACCCUCUGCUUGCUUGCACCCAAGACACUUUUUAACAACCCUUUUUCAUGUUGAUACAAUUCAAGAAUAUCCCUUAUAAUUGUUCUUCGCGAUGGCACAUCAAAUCUUAGGCAACAAGUUUGCAUAAACUCUAAAAACCCUUCGGCCUCCACAAAGCUAAAAGGUAAUUCAUCAUUGACAAUCAUCUUCACAAGUGCCAUUCUACAAGCCUCUUGACUAAAUCCGCCACUAACUUUAACAACUCCAUCAUCUUUAUCUUUUCCCUUUUGACGGAAAAGUACUUGUUGCUUCAGAUCCCCUUCAACCUUUACAUCUUGAUAUGACCUACAUCUAUCCAAAUGAUUCUUCAAAUUAGUGGUAUUUCCUCUAUUAGCUACAAAGGUUUUACGGCAAUGAUGACAUUUUCCUUUGUUUCCACAAGAUAGUUUGGUAAAAUGAGCCCAAAUAUUUGAUCUCAAAGGUAUUUUUCUUUUUUUCCCAUCAUCAACCUCCACCUCUUGCACUUCCUCCUCAUCAUAAUUUUCCAUUCUUCACAAAAAAUCAACAUCACAGCAGCAAUAAAUCAACACAAGAGCAGCAACAAAUAAAAAGAACCUGAUGCUCAAUAAUUCUACUAACUAAUAUCAAUUGUACGCACAGAGAACAAUAUAUGUACAAGAAUUGAUUCCCAUAUUAAUUGAUAAAUAAAGCCAAAUAGAUAAAAAUAUGGGAUUUGUAUAAUGCUUUACAAUGCAUAAGAUAGUAAAAAUAUUAAAUAAGGGCUUUGCACCCCAUUUUAUAUGUACGCACAACACUUCACUAGUACAUGAUACUUUUCCACAAGUUCCCACAAGGGGAUCAAGCAGCCAAGAAUGCACAAACUGGAGGAAUGAGGUUAAUAGCAAACAAACUAUGUAGGUACAGCCAAAAAGCCGCUGUGAAGAUAUCAGAAUUAGAUGACAACCCUAAUUAACAAGCUUUACUACACCUGUAUGGACAGUAACAAUAGCUGCAGCUAUUCUAAGUUUUGGAUUCCAUCCCCAAAUGAUGUCAACAGAGGUGCAAUAUUAGAUGGUCUAGGAACAAGUCUCCGUUAAGUAUGCAAAAGGAUCUGAAGACACUAAUGCGAAAAUCACAAAAAAAAAAAAAAAUGGAGCGAAAUGCGGUGCUACAAAGACAUUGAUGUUCCUGAACAUUUACUUUUCAUUUGUUUUGUUGUAGUUGUAGUAAUAGGUAUAUCUGUAGCUGCUACGUAGACCUUAGGCAACAAAUGCCACGAACAUGAACCUAGUGACUUUUUGUGUGUGCGGACUUGAACUUAUCUACAUUUCUAUAUCACAAAAGAAGACUACACAAGCAGAUACUUGUGAAAACAAAACACUUCAAAUGGUCAAUAUCACUAAGUCACUUCCCAGAUCUGAAAAAAGCCUCCAUUCUACUUCAACUCAACAUUAUCAUCACUUAGAACAUCAACUUACAACAAGCCAUCACAACACAUACACAAGAAAUUUAAAUCAAAGCAGAAUAAGUUGAAAUCACAAGGCACAACCAAAUGAAUAAUUUGCAUUCCAGCAAAAUUUAAGUUCGAAAAAUGAUUAAGGCUGCGAUACACAGCCUGCUGGGGAAAGUGGCCCUUCCAUGUUGCCCAUCACGUGGUGAAAAGAAAAAGAAAAAAAAAAGAGAGAAAGAAAUGAAGAAUCAACUCACAAGUUGUAGCUUUGUGGAGAUCACGAUAUUUCCAGAUGACAGCGGCUACGGCGACGAGCAGCAGCGACGGAUACUCAGCGACGAGCAGUAGCGACGGAGACUUGGCAACGAGCAGCAGCGGCAACAGCAAGGACCAGCAGCGCGGAGACAAGCGACGGGGGCGAGAUUCUAGCGGCUGAAGGUCACGAGUUCAGUGGCUCAAGAUCAGAACUCAGAACUGAAGGAAUCUGAAGUGGACAAUUGGUUUAGAGAAUUAGAGUCACUAGGUUCAGGGAUUUCGGAUUUCGGUUUAUUUGAUAAUUGGUUCGGUUUUGCGGUUUUUUUUUUAAAACCGAACCGACUGAUUUUACUAUUUUUACUAUAUUACUUAUUCGGUUUUUUGAGUGUAAAAAAACCGCAAAAAAAACAAAACCGAACCGAACGGUUCGGUUCGGUUUUUGAUUAAUCAACUUUUUUUGCCCACCCCUGAUGAAAUAGGCUUUAGUUAUUUUACAUGAUCAUGUAAAUUAUUCUUGUAUAGUUAUUAAAUAAAAAUUAAAAAUAAUAAAAAUAAUAAGAUUUUAUUAUUUUAUAUUUCCACAGCUGUUGAAUUUUCAUCAAACGAUUAUGAAAAAAUCAUAUAUUUUAUAUGAUUACCCUUUUUUUAUGAUAACAAUCUCUCGUAAAAUAAUUGAUCACCCUUUUUUUUUAUGAAAAAUUGAUAUACUUGCUUACACACAUGACAUAUUCUCCUUGGAAGUAAAGAAAAAAUUUCCAUUAUUCUGCAUUGUGCAUCACAGUCCUGACAGCGUUUUAGGCUCUGUAAAUAGCAAGAAAAUAAUUUGUUUUCUUAUUUCCUUUUGCUAAUUGACAAAAUGAUGAGAAAAAAAAUGAAAAAUAAGGAAAAAAAAGUUUCUAUUAUAACAAGAAAAUAAAGAUUAAAGUAAAAUGCCAUGACACGUAGAAUUCUCUAAAACGAUAUCUAAAUUGAAAAGUGUAAUAAAUAAUUCGGGGAAGCUUGAAAAAUGUAACAACAAAAUUUGUGUCAAAUAAGAAUAAAAAUAAAAACUUAUUGGAUGGAGCCAAUAAAGUUUAGAAAGAUUUUUAUUUCGCUUAAGUUUAUAAUUUAGAGUCACAAGCAACAAGUUCGUAAACAACAUGAAUUUUUGAGGAUUGCAAUAAAAAUUGUGAUUGAUAACAACAAAUUUACAAUUAAUAAUUAAUAACAAACAAUGGCUACGUGGGUAUUUUCCAAUUUACGGAGCCUCAAGGGCCAAGGUUGACCUAAUAUUGCCAUAUAAAAAUAUUUUUUUAAAAGAAAAUAAAAUAUGAUCUAAAAGAAUGUGUACCAUGAUAUAAUUGAUAAAAUUUUCAUUCUUUCAAGUUCUAAGAGAGUCUAAGAGAAACGUGAAAGGCUUAAAGUGCAUAAUAAUAAUAAUAAAAGGAGAAAUUUUAAAUACUUCAGAUAUAUUACAACCACCACUUUAAUACAACCACUAUAUUACAACCACAUAUAUCAUGUCAUUAUUUGUUUGUUGUAUGACUGACAUGGUACAUCAGAUGUAUUCUAGAAUUUCUCUAAUAAAAGAGACAUGUGAAAGUGAGAGCAAUAAAAAAAAUAAAAUAAAACCCCUAAAUUGGAAACUUUUAAAGAAUAGUGAUGAUUGUCGAAGCCAACAAAAAUAAAUACCUACUCUAAAUAAAUUGUGUAUAGUGAUUGAGCUGGAUCGUGUCCACAGAGAUUGGUAAUUAUUUAAAUCCUUUUAACACGUAAAACAUAAAAUGGGGGUUUUGUUGACAAUAAUAAAAAUCAAAUUAAAAUAACAAGAAUGCAAAUUAAAGUUGUAAUUCAAAUUGGAGAAAGCUCUGGUUGAAGGAAUUAACUCAGCUUGAUUCGACUACUGAUCAUUGAUUCAAAUAUAAAUUAUUACUACUUAUGAAUAGACCGGUUAUAGCUACUGAGACCCUCUAAUAGCCAAUCUCUCCUUAACUAGUCGAUAACCAAGGUACGAUCGUUGGUUAUUUCCCUAAUCAAUAGACAACCCUAGAUACGAUCAUAUGAUUUAAUCAAUUGACAGCCUGAAAAACCAGAGAGACCCAAAUCCUAAUCAACAAACGCAUACGAUGGUUCAUUUAAAUUAGAUUGUUUAUUCUCAUAACACAACUCACUGCUAUGUUAUUUGUCACAAACAUUAAAAUCUUCAUACGAUAAAUCCUUUAAUUGACAAUAGAUUAAGUUGAUAAUUAAAUAGUGGCCAGUUAUCUAAUUAACAAACAUAAUCAUGAAAAUAAUUCAGAGAAUAAACAAAUACCAAAAAAGUAAUAAAACAAUUAAAGCAUAAGAAAGAUCUCACAGUAGUGAUGAAUCAAAGCUUCAUUAACCUUCAACCAGAAUAAUAGAUUUAGUUCUUCAUAGAGAGAAUAGAAAAAUUUAGAUCUAGGGUUUCUUUCUUUUCUCCAAUCCCCCUUUUUUUCACAAUAGAUUCCUCCCUUAAAUACUCUCUCUCUCUUCUCCUCUAGAGUUCUAUUUAAAAUAAAAUACUAAUAUCUAAAAUAUUAAAUUCGUAAUUACAAAAAUAACCAAAAAUACAAAACACGUUAAACUAAAAACUGUAGGUCCGUAGUUGACAGCACGCGCCCACGCCUUAUCAAUAAAGUUCUUCUGACGCUCAUUAUUUCUUCAAAAGAACAAUCAUCCUUAAACAUCAUCUUGUAGCUCAAUUUUAGCACCAAUCAAUAGAAUUGCACCUAUAAAAGUAAAACACAAGUAAAUCACUAUUAUUAAGUGCAAAACAUCGAUAUUAAGGGAAGCAAACAAUGCAAAACUAGUGCAUAAAUUGCACUCUAACAAAUUCCCCCACACCAAGAUGAUGCUUGUCCUCAAGCAUAUAACUCAAGACUAAUCACAAAUCUCCGCUCAAUUCUCAUCUCAACUCAUCCAAAAACAAUUUUAAGCAAGCAUACCUCAAGAAAUUAAGUCGAUCAUCAUUCGAAAGACAAGGAUUUUAAAGCAUAGAAUCUCAUAAGAUAGAAGAAGAACAUUCAACCACCAAGAAGAUCCAUUCAAAAUUCAACUGCAAUAAGAUUUAAUAGCCCUCUCAUUGACUUCACUCCAUUCACUCAAAGUGUUUAGGGUAUCAUUUAUGCACUCAAAUCAAAUCAAAUAAUGCUAUUACCAUAAGCUUGCUCAUAUAUCACAUCUCAAUCCACAAAACAUGAAUAAAAUGCAAAAAUCUAAGGGUCUUAAAAAGGUUGUAAUGGGGUUAAAUAAGUUAAAUGAAAAAGAAAGGUCUACGAAAGAAAAAGAGAUCAAAAUGAGAAGAAUGAACUCAUUGAAUGAACUUAUGAUAUCAAAAUGCUUAUUUCUACUCAAGUCACCAAGAAUGUAAACAUUUUUUUUCUUUUUUUCGAUUUUUGUCUUUUUUUUCUUUUUUUUUAAUCAAAAGAAAAGAAACGAACCUUGCACAAUUUAAUUCAAGCAUAAUGCUUGUUGAUCUAAUUGAGAAACUUUAAUACAAGGUAGAAAAAGCAACAAAAUAUAUACAAAAUAUAUCCGCACAAUGAGUCCAAAAAUCUCCUUAAAUUGAGGCUCAAAAAGAAGAAAAAUUGUUAAGUAGACAAAGAGAAUUAGAUGGAUAAUGGUUAAGACUCAAACAAAGAUAGCAAAUAAAGGUCUUCGGGUAGAAAAAAAAAAGAAAAUGCGAGAAACAAAUGUUUACAUAGAAACAAAUGGCGCGCAGUCGAUUUGUCAAUCUAGUACCACUCUCGUAUACUUGGUGAGAUUCGGCUAUACCAAAUUUGUAGCCUAUAUUUUACUUUAAUGAGAAAAUCAAAUAAUGUUUGAACAAAUAAUUUUCUUUUUUCUAUAUACUUUCUUAAAAUGUAUGGAGUGGGUAAAGUACAAAUUGUUUUUUUAGCCCUUUGACUCCUCCAAAAUUCGAACUCAAUUUAAUGUCAAUUAAAAUAAUGCUACUUGAAAAUCAUUCAACCAAAUAUCGUAAAAACUAUAAUUUUACGAAGUGAAAGUUUCACUGAUUAUUGAAUUAUAGAACAUGCUAUCAUUUCCUAGUUAGAAUUUGUUUAAUUCUAUUAAUUUACAAUCAUUCUUUAUUUUAUUCAAUUAAUUAAAGUGAAUUUGUUUUGUAUAAGUUCUAUAUAUGUAAAAUUUUAAAAUUCAGUGUUGAACUUAAUUGUACUAAACCUUUUAUAAUUUUUUAUCACAUCUGCAUGUUUAACAGUCUAGUAUUAAUAUUGAUAGCACAUAAUAUAUAGGAUCAAGAGACAUUGAUUUCGGGUGCCACAAGAUUUUUAGGAUUGCAUGCACAAGGGCUUACAAGAUUUUUAGGAUUGCAUGUAGGGGUGGGCGCGGUUCAGUUCGGUUCGAUUUUUAACUAAAUUUUUCAUAAUCGUUCAAUUACGAUUAUUUUAAAAUCAUAAUGGCAAUUAAUCAAAUUACCGAAAUAAUCAAGUACUCGAUUAAUCAAAAUAAUUCGAUUUGAUUCAGUUCGAUAAUUUCGAUUAUGAGCUUAUUGGACCUAUUUUGGGUUUUUUUAAAUUUAAAACCUUAAAUUAAUAAAUCUACCACAAACAUAAAAAAGUUAACAAACGAUUUGUUUCUUAGUUAAAAGUUUUUAAUCUUUUACUGCUUUUAUUAUUAUCCCAUUUUCGUGAUUGUUGGUAAAUGUGUCAAAUCAUAGGUGGAAAGCCUCUACAAAAUAAAAAUUAACCAAAAAAUCAAUUAAGAUUAUAGUUUAAUUAAGGAUCCAUACAGAGUUAGUUAGCAGAACCAGCUGGAAAAUGUUUUUGUCUGAACCUGUUGCAGAAAAUUAAUACUUGCUAGCGUUUUUUAUUAAUUAAUUUAGUUAUGAAUAUACAAACUUAAAAAGUCAUGAAUGAGACGUGUUUGAACUUGCUUUAGUUUUCAUCAGUAGUAAAGAUAGCACCGGCAAUUCACAGCACCAUCAUUUAGUUAUGAACUUGCUUUACGUGCUCUGGAAAUAUCAGUCAUUUUACAAAUGAAAAAGAAAUCAAGAUUUCAUGUUUCACCAUGCUUGGGUUGCUAUCAAACAUAGCAACACCAAAAAAUCAAAUCCAGUGAAGGAGAAUUACCAAAUACAAGGUCAAGAUUCCACCAUAUUAUCAAAAUUGACAUUUGACCGUCAUUAGUAGCAUUAAUUGUUUUGUAGCGUACAGAGCCACACAAAACACUAAGACUAAAGAAAUCAAAGAUGAAAACAAACACCAUAUCACAUUAAACAUUUUCAAACACGGCUCUAAGAUAUAAAAAUCAUGAUCAAUCUCAACAGUAUCCAGUUUGCGAUUUGGGAAAAGAAACUGAAAAAACCAAUCAUUCAAUCAUCUUUCAGCCAAAGAAACAAACCAUAUCUCACCCAAAUGGGGGAAAAGAAAAAACAAAAGAAUGAAUCAUAAAUCACAAAUCAAUUUUGGUAUACAAAUUACUAGUCAUGGUUAUAACUAAAUACAACAUCUCAAGUGAACGAACCUCAACAAAUUAUGAAACGAAACACGAAACAAUCAGCAGUAGCUCAAGUUAUUGGUUUUUAUUCUCUGCAAAAACAGAACAAACCAGAGAAAUGAGAGACAAAAACAGCAGCGAUAUUUACAUAACUCAAGCACAUUAACAAAAACAUGGGAACGAGGAAAAAGAAAUGAACUUUAAACCAAAUUCAUAAAACCGAAACGAAAAAUGGAACUUUUUUGUUCGAUUUUUUGUUCUGCUGAGAGAUUUUGUUGACAAAAACAAAAGAACCCAGAAAUGCUAAAGAGGAAGAGAGAGAAAUCAAUACGUGAUCGUAGUGUUAAAAAAAAAAAAAACCUCACAACAGUAGUCAGAUGGCAGCAGGGGAGCACCGUGACAGCAGCAACAAUUGAUAGUAGGUGACAGCGGCAAGUGACAGUGGCAGCAGCAGCAGAUGACAGCGGCUACAGCAGGUGGUAGCGGCGGCGGAGAGUCGUGAAGGACAAGCAGCAGCAGCAGCGGGGACGAGAUUCCAGCGGCUGAAGGUGCUGCGGCUUCGGUUUUCGGCUGAAGAUCAGAAGAAAUGAAGAAUGUGUUUAGUUUAGACUUUAGGGAUUGUUAUUUGACAUUCGGUUUAUUUGAUAUUCGGUUCGGUUUUUCGAUUUUUUUUUAAACUAAAAACCGAAUAGACUGAUUUUACUACUUUUAUUAUAUUACUCAUUCGAUUUUUUGGAUGUAAAAAAACCGCAUAAAUGCUGUAGAAAACUUAAAUUUUAUAGUACUUAGUUAGCUGCACAUAUAUAUAUAUAGGGCUACUAUAGCCAAAGAAACUUACAUGCUCUAGAAAACUUAAAUUUUCAUUGAUGCCACGUAACAUCAAAAAACUUUUCCCAGUAACAUUCGUAAAAGCUAAAAAUGUCUGAUUCGGUAGAGUAAACACCUCUAUGAGUGUAUUUACGAGGAAUAUAUCAAUAUAACCUCUACAUUUGAAAAUAACCAACAGUCUUUCAGUAUGUCUGUAUAUAUAUAUAUAUAUAAUCAGCUUCAGGUCUGGAAUUUAAAUUUGAAAAGAGUCUACAAUGUUGUAAAUUGCAUUUAUCACUGUUUUACAAUGGUAUAAAUUUAAUUAUAAAUGACUGUCAAAAAAUUAAUAGAUGGUUAUUAUAUAUGAUUAUAAUUAGAACAUUAAAAUUCAAGUCGACUCAUUUAUCUUUACGUUGAUUUUAUUCUUUGUGGUUAUACUUAGAAUAUUAAACAAUUAAGUCGACUAGUUUAUCUUUAUGUUGAUCAUUACAGGCCUCUUAAAUAUUUUAUUUACCUAUAUUUUCUUUGAUUUGUUAUUUUGAGUUGUAUGAAAUGUAGCUUUACUCCUGUUUUCUUUACUUUACUUUGGUUUUCUUUAUUGUUGAUAGGAAUUUUCUUGUUAAAACUAUAUGAUUCAAAUUCAUACUACAACCAUGAUGAAAUAUUUAAUAAAACCUUCAAACUAAAUCCACAUAUUCCAUGAGUAAGGACCCUGAGAUCACAUUUGUUCAAGUUUAUGCUUUAAGUAAAAUAAAAGUAGAAAUGAGAGUUUUAAAGAAGAAAUUCAGUUAUAAAUAAUUGUCAAAUAAUUAAUUGUUCAGCAUUUAUUUUAUAGGUCCCACUGUUGGGACUCCAUGUGAUCUGCCAACUGGCAGGCCUUAUGUGGUUGGGUGAACCAAGGUGUGCCUACCCCAUAUAAGUUCCUCUCUUCUCAUAGAUAUAACUAUCAACGGCGCUAUGUCAUGUCCAACAAGGACUCUUCGAAACUUUUUAUGUGAAUUUUAAACAUUACCCCAUUACGCUUUUGAAACACCAAAACUACCUCUCUUAAAUUUUUAAAAAAGGAAAAAAAUACAUGUUAAAAGAAUGUUUUAUGUCUUUAGCUUAACAGUUAGCACACGUAUUGUACUCUUGACAUUUUUCUUCUGUAAAUCUUCACUUCUUUUUUCUUUGAUUUUUCACACGUCACUGCUCUUUUAUCUCUAAAAAAUUAAAUUGUCCGUAGAAGCUUACUAUUUAAUUUACGGAUCUAAUUAUUUAGCUCUAAAUAUUUAGAUAAGUUUUCUUAAUUAAUUACCACUUCUUUAAUUUAUUUGGUGAUUUCUCUUAGAUGAAAGAAUUAAGGUUAUGUCCUAGGAAAAAUAUUAACUCUCAUAUUAUAGUGUUGAUAAUGAGGUUAUCCUUAAAUUUUUAACACAUGAAAACACAUCGAGGUAACUAUAAAUUCAUUGAAGGAAAUAUUUUAAUAAAUUUAGAUUUUGGUACAUAUUAUUUGUUGAAUUUUUUUUCUUUCCAAAUUGAACGUAGCCCUUAUGACAUUCAAUUCGUGAGAGUGCCACUAAAUGUAAAGUGUUGAACUAGAUCAUAUUUCUCCCUUAUGCAAACUCCAUCGUUUAUUUAUAUUUCAAUUUUGUGGCCUAUUUUCGAGUUUUCUAGUUUCACAGAGGGCAUCUUGGAUUUCUCUACGCUGUCUAUAGUCUCUAGUCCAAAUGAAGAAAUCGAAUUCACCAUGUACUGUUUGGGAGAAGUACGUCGACGAGACCAGACAUGAUGAGCAGAUAUCUGAUGGCAGAGUUCUGCGAACAGGUGUGUCCUGUAAGAGACUGGUGACCGGGGAGCAGGAGUAGAAAUAUUUUGCUCGUCCGCGAGAAUGCCGUCCACGAGGCUGGGCUCCUGCUGUAGCAUGGAGCAUUCCUGCUAAAGGUUUUAAUCGAGGAGACCCGGUCAACGAGAAUUGGUGCGGCGGGCUCUGCAAUCCGAAAAUCAAGGUACUAAGGCCACGUAUCCACCCACGAUUACAGAAAUAGAGCAUCCACGUUCGAGAGGUGGGAGGAUAACGAGCGCAAAUGAGGGGAAGGUCUGGAGUCAGGAGGACCUAUAAAAAGGUAGCCAACGAAGGUAAAAGGGUUAGACUUUUCGCUAUUAGAACUAAGAAAAGAGAGCUCUAAGAACUGAGAUUAAAAAGAAGCCAUAAGAUUCGUGGCAUAGAUUCCCAAAACCUUCAUUUCUGACUUGAACGUCGGAGGGUUUGCGCCGGGGAACCAACCGGCGUACUCUGACCUGUCUGUGUACGCAGGAACUUCUGGAGAAGAAGCUUUACGAGGAGAGAUCCUGAUCGUGGUGACGUUGAUCGAGCAGAGCUCCUGGUCGUAUAACGAGGAGGACUAGAAUCUCGCAUCAACAUUUUGGCGCCGUCUGUGGGGAGCUGAGCAAAAAGCUUCUGUUGAUAGCAAGAAGAAAAGGGAAGCAACUGAAAAGCAAUGGAGACAGGAGGAAGUAGUGCACAAGGGGGUGAUAUGAGGCUUAACGAUUCCGUGACGCUGAGGGAGAUAGCCAGUGAAGCACGGGAAAAAGCCAUGUUCGACCAGAUGGAACGGAUGGAAAAGCAGAUGGAGACCUUGACAACCAUCCUGCAUGAGCUGCGGAGCGAACGAAGGGUAACCUAGGAGGAAAGGGUGAGAGGUGGUGGAGUGGCACCAGGUCCCGAUAGUGCGAGGAGAAGUCAAACCAUCGGGAGAUUUGGUGGCGAGAGAGGUAACAUACCUCUGCGGGGAGAAUUGCAUAGAGAGGAAGAGCAGUCCCCGACAAGACAGAUUUUUGACGAGGACAACGGGGUGGCGAAUGCAGAGGAAACACAGUUGAGGCAACACUUGCAUGAUGUAGUGCAAGAGCGGGAUCAAGUUGCAGCACGUGACCCUGGUCGUGCAGAGCAGCUGGAGGAGGAAGUGCGCAGACUAGCGCAGAUAAUUGACGACAUGCAAGGAAGGAGCAGAGCUCCUGGUUGGAGAAUAAUGCUGGACGGAGAAUCACCGCUCGCAGCAGAGAUCAUAGGGCAAUUAUUCCGAGAGAUUUUUGCCUCCCAGACUUUAGAUACUCGGGAAGAACUGAUCCGCUGGUGCACAUAGAGUGCUUCAACGACAUAACUGGGGUACAAGGAUUAUCUCAAUCCCAAAGGUGCAGGGUGUUCCCACUAUCCCUUGAGGGACGUGCACGAGAGUGGUACAAGAAACUUCCUCGGGGCAGCAUUAAAACCUUCGAGCAGAUGUGCCAGGAAUUUGUAGAGCAGUUUAGUGGGGCAACGGCACCAGAAGAUGACAUGAUGGAGCUGAAAAGCAUGAAACAGGGGGAGCAAGAAACCCUUCGGGAAUUCAUCAAGAGGUUUCAUCGUGCUGUCCUCGACUUGGGUGCCUUCAACCACCCUCAGGCGUUAAGGGGAUUGAAAGAAGGGGUGAAGAUAGGAAGGUUGUGGUACAACUUGAGAAGCCCAGUUAUUCAGACGUAUGCGGUCGCAUACGAGCAGGCUAAGAGAGACAUUGAGAUUGAAGAGGAGAAGGCAGCACGGAUUAAGACAGACCAGUUAGAAGGGUUGGGGAGGAAAGAGAAGAAAGCAUUACCAGGGAAUGGGCCGAUCAGGAGGAGGGACCACCAAGCCUCGGGUAGUGGAGCAGGAGGUCGGGUAACUGCUUACCAGCCUCAUCAGAGGCCACCACAGUAUCAGCGCAGUAGGGCGCAACUUCCUCGUUCCCCAGCUAGGGAGCCUUGGAGAAGGCAUGAUUCGGCAUAUGGUGGUCUCCAUCAACAUUCCCACGGUAGCAGAGGGAGCAGACCAGAAGUACUACCACAGCCCCCAACUCAGAACGGAGCAAACAGAGAAAGAGCAGUGCACCUGAUCGACCAGAACCAGGACUAUGAGCAGUAUACUUCCUUGAAGAUGUCCCUGGACGAGGUGUACGAGGCCAUAAAGGAUCGGGGGUUGCUAUACCUCCCUGCUCAAAUAACAAAGCUACCCAGCAGGAGGGAUAGGGGACGCUAUUGUAAGUUCCAUGGCACUCAUGGCCACACCACAGCAGAUUGCAGAGAUCUUAAGACCCAGGUCGAAGAUUUGGUGAGAAAUCGGUAUCUGGACGAGUUUGUAGAUGGGACCUUCCCAAUGGUAGCCUCAACAAGUGAAGGGGAGUAGAGUGACAGGAACUUGAGGCGCGAGCAGCCUGCAGUAAGGGUUAUAGCUGGGGGCCCAACAUUGGCGGGAGAUUCCAACAGGUCGAGGAAGAAUUAUGCUAGAUACGCCAUGACCAGCAAAGAGGUAUUCUUCAACACCCCAGCAGCCAAACGUGCAAGAGUCAGGCAAGUGCCAAUCAUGUGGACAGAUGAGGAUGAGGAAGGGAUUCUAUACCCUCACGAGGAUGCUUUGGUCAUCAAGGCCACCGUUGCUAGCAAGAAGUUUGACAGGAUACUGGUUGACACAAGGAGCUCAGUUGACGUAUUGUUUAAGUCAACCCUGGAGGAGAUGGGGAUAGCAGACCUGAAGUUGGAUUACACCAAUACCUUCUUGAAGGGGUUUGGAGGACGAAGGCUGGUCCCUCUGGGCGUGGUCGAGCUGCCUAUCACGAUCGCGAGUUCCCCGACAGAAAGGACAAUGAUACUAGACUUUGUAGUAGUAGAUGAGGAAGGUCCUUACCAGAUGAUCCUAGGCCGGCCAUUUCUGAGGAUGAGCAAAGCGGUGCUGUCCAACCAUUAUCUGGCCCUCAAGUACCGGGUGAAUGAAGUAGUUGGAGUGGUACGAGGAGACCAGAGAAUCGCAAGAAGCUGCUACUCUUCGGCAGCAAGGGAAGCAAUGCAGAUAACAUCCAUUGACACCCGAGUGGAAAACGAGAAUGGCAGACAAGAACCUGUAGAGGAGCUGGAGACAGUAAGCCUGGGAUCAGAGAAUCCGGGAAAGACGAUCAGAAUCGGGUCGAGACUUAAAGAAAAGCAGAAGCAGGAGUUGGUGAAAUGCUUACAGGCUCAUGCAGAUGUGUUUGAAUCUUGAUCUGCUAACGGAAAAAAGGGAGCAAGCAGCUGGUCAAUCAGCCAUUUACCAGCAAAGGGUCACUCGUUAUUAUAACCAGAAGGUUAAUGUACGACAAUUCAGGGUCGGAGACUGGGUACUGAGAAGAGUGAAUCAGAGUACCAAAGAUUCGACUCAAGGAGUGCUGGGACCGAAUUGGGAAGGGCCAUAUAGAGUCAAGCAGAUAGUGGGACACGGAGCUUACAAGCUGGUUCGCACGGACGGCCGCGAGGUGAAACGCCCUUGGAACGCAGCACACCUCCGCAAAUACUUCCAGUAAGAUCUGUUCACAUUUUAAAGCUAUUUCCGCUCGUGCUCGUUAUCUUUUAUUUUUUAUAUUUUAUGUCAAAGCAAGUUCAUGUAAAACCAACUCCUGCAAUUAAUGGAACGUCGAGGAAUUUCAUUCAGUUGAAACUGUGAUAAAUUUUCUAAGGCAUGCGAAGGCUCACCAAGUCUCAAAGCCUGUUUAUGGCGAGACCAGAAGCCAAGCGUGCCGGGAUCUGCUCGACCACGCGAAGGCGAGCAGAAUCCCAAUCAUUGAAGAAAAUAACUAAGGCAUGCAAAGGCUCACCAAGUCUCAAAGCCUGUUUAUGGCGAGACCAGAAGCCAAGCGUGCCAGGAUCUGCUCGACCACUCGAAGGCGAGCAGAAUCCCAAUCAUUGAAGAAAAUAAUUAAGGCAUGCAAAGGCUCACCAAGUCUCAAUGCCUGUUUAUGGCGAGACCAAAAGCCAAGCGUGCCAGGAUCUGCUCGACCACGCAAAGGCGAGCAAAAUCCCAAUCAUUGAAGAAAAUAACUAAGGCAUGCAAAGGCUCACCAAGACUCAAAGCCUGUUUAUGGCGAGACCAGAAGCCAAGCGUGCCAGGAUCUGCUCGACCACGCGAAGGCGAGCAGAAUCCCAAUCAUUGAAGAAAAUAACUAAGGCAUGCAAAGGCUCACCAAGACUCAAAGCCUGUUUAUGGCGAGACCAGAAACCAAGCGUACCAGGAUCUGCUCGACCACGUGACGGCGAGCAGAAUCCCAAUCAUUGAAGAAAAUAACAAAGGCAUGCAAAGGCUCACCAAGUCUCAAAGCCUGUUUAUGGCGAGACCAGAAGCCAAGCGUGCCAGGAUCUGCUCGACCACGCGACGGCGAGCAGAAUCCCAAUCAUUGAAGAAAAUAACUAAGGCAUGCAAAGGCUCACCAAGUCUCAAAGCCUGUUUAUGGCAAGACCAGAAGCCAAGCGUGCCAGGAUCUGCUCGACCACACGAAGGCGAGCAGAAUCCCAAUCAUUGAAGAAAAUAACUAAGGCAUGCAAAGGCUCACCAAGACUCAAAGCCUGUUUAUGGCGAGACCAGAAGCCAAGCGUGCCAGGAUCUGCUUGACCACGCGAAGGCGAGCAGAAUCCCAAUCAUUGAAGAAAAUAACUAAGACAUGCAAAGGCUCACCAAGUCUCAAAGCUUGUUUAUGGCGAGGCCAGAAGCCAAGCGUGCCAGGAUCCGCUCGACCACGCGAAGACGAGCAGAAUCCCAGUCACUGAAGAAAGUAUCUAAGGCACGCAAAGGCUCAUAAAGUCUCAAAGCCUGUUUAUGGCGAGACCAGAAGCAAAGCGUGCCAGGUUCUGCUCGACCGCGCGAAGGCGAGCAGAAACCCAAGCAUUGAAAAAUUUUCUAAGUAAUGUAGAAAGACCAUAUUCUUAACCAGAGCCUGCUCGGCCAAGCGAAGGCGAGCAGACCCUCAACAGAAAAUUUACUUGUAAAUACAAAACACAAGAAAGUAAUCAAAAACAAUUUUCAUUAAUUUAUCAAUAACCAACAAAGUUGUUCAUUACAACGCAUGAAAUAUGUUCAAGAAGAUGGCGGAUCAGUAAGCCGAGUAGCGUCGGUCGGCUGGACCUCCUCGGGUACAGGGGGGUAUCACCAGUUGCGUCCGGGGGGGUGCUCGCCUCGCCGACGUCAGCAGGGAUUGCACGAGGAGGAGAGUUUUCCUCCUCAAUCACGAUCGGCUCCACCCCUUCGGCAUCUUCCUUGGCCGCCUCCUCGUCCAUAUGUUGAGCAACACCAGCUGCAAGGUCAUCCAUCUUCAGAUCAGGAUGCUGCUUCCCGAGGACGGCCAUGAUGCAACGAUAAGAAUGCCGGAGUCCCUGGUCGUACUGGUUGUCGGCCUCCUUCUCUAAGUUUUCGACCUGAACCCGGUGGGAAUCGCGGAGAGAUUCGAGCUGAGCCUCGUACAAAGCUUUCUGACUCUGCAGAUCCUCCUUGACCUUGGCCAGCUCUUCCUCGAGAGUGAUAGCCUUUGCUUGGGCAAGAGACUCUCGCUCAAUCAACUUCAGAUUCUCGGGGUUCAAGUCCCCUGCUUUCUUUUCGGCAACACCAGCUCUGGUCGUCGCCGACUGAAUGUCCUCCUUCAUCUUCCUAUCAUAGCGGCCAACUUUGGCCUUAUAGUAGGUGGUCAUGCAGCUGAGAUGGAAGGCGCUAUACUGCAUGGCCCCCACCAGCUCGCCUAGACUACAUCCAUCAAAGUCCUCCAGAUCCUUCUUGCUCACGAGUUUGGAAAGCUCGUUGAGAUAGGGAGCCAAGUGUUCUGCUCGGCUAUCAGGCAAACGAGAUCUAGGCCCGACAGGUGGAGAAGAGGAAGCAGGAUCAGUGGCUGCUCCACUGGUCUCGCCGAGUUUGGCAGGAGGAGGAGGUAAAGUCUUCAAGGGAGAGACCUGCUGCACGAUGUUGGCCCGCUUUGCAGUAGGGGCGUCCUUGUUCUGGUCCCUCUUCGUGGUUUGAGGUCGAGAACGUUUCCUGUUCAGAGCCCCAAUCACAGCGUCCUCCAUCUUAUGGCCAGGGAGUACCAAGCGAGACUCGAGCAAGUUGUAAGUAGUUAGCAGUUCUCGGCUCGGGCAGGUAUUGGGUAGUACGGCCUCAACCUGUUUGAGCUGGUCAGGUUGGAGUGGGAAAUGAACACCCCAAGAAACUACAACACAAACAGACACUUGGUUAGAGGUAAGCCAAUAAAGCAGGAACAAUUAUGCAUACAAGACAUCUAAGCGAGCAUGCAACCUGGGACCGUGAAACGGGGUGGGAUGCGACAAUCCUUCCCGUCUAUUUGUGCAACUUGACCCCAAGGACCCCCAGCAAAAAAGAAUUUUCUCUUCCAAGUCCCACCACCACCAGUUGGAAGAUCAGUUAUGGGUUUCCUGCUCUUGGUACUAGAUUGGAAGUAGUACCAGCCGGCAUCUUUGGGGCUGUUCUUUAGCUGGUACAGGUGUUUCACCUCGUCGACCGUGGGCUCGCUUUGACAACAUCUGUCCCACAAGAUGAAUAGACUAGAGAGCACUCUCCACCCGUUGGGGUUCAGCUGACCAGGAGCUAGAUUCAACCCGCUAAGAAUCCGGGCAAAGUAGGGUUGCAAGGGACACCUCAGCCCAUGCUUAAAACUCUCCAAAAACAAGGUAACAUAUCCCCUAGGAGGCCGGCUAGAGGUAUCCUUCUUUCCUGGGAUCUUAAGAAGUAUCUCACCAGGAAUGCUAUACCUAAGCCGGAGGUUAGCGAGCUCGUCAAACGUGGUCGUGCACGUCAUAUAAUCAAUAGCGUAAUCCCGCGAUAGGGCUCUACCUCCUGCUGUACUCUACCCUUCUGGUCGUGACGCUCCUGAUGGUGAUGCCUCACCAGAAUCAUCUCCACGAUCCUCACUCAGGGUGUUCUCCGAUCCAGAAGACCCUUCCUCAUCGCUAUUUCCGCUCGAGGAGGUUGUUUGGGGGGACAUCCUCCUAGUGCUAGUGCCAACACUAGAUCUAAUGGGCUCUAAGGGGAUCCCGGGGUCAAAAGCAGGAUCGGUGAGCAGACUAGGCAAGAAGUCCAACUCAUCGUCAUCAACCUCAAUGACCUUCUCUUUACCUCUCGACAUUCCCUAAGCUCUAACCACAACACCACCACCAACUACUACCCAAACAAAAGAGAAGAGAAAUUAUCUACAACUAUCCGAGACCAGGGAGAUAGAAGAAGUACCUGAAGUAAUGGUUCAGUCGGAGAAAGACAGAGAUGGAGGCCCCUAUGCCGGAACUUCUUUCCGGAGAGACAGAGACGAAGACGGAGUGAAUGACGAAUUUGUCGUUCGAAAGGAUUUGGGUUUCCUAAUGGAGACGGACUCUUGGGUUGCCAGCAUUUAACGACACCAAAUCUCAAGGGCCUCGUAACCGUUGGUUUGAAAUUCGAAUAGAGGGGCAGAUGUCUGCCACAUCACCUCGUCCGCAAUUAAAUGCGACAUGACUCUUGGCAGCCUUUUCCCAUCCCACGCGAGCAAGUACUGUUGAGUUUCUACUGCUGGUCCACUACAUUACCCAAACACUAGAAACUGGGGGACCGAUGUUUGGGAGAAGUACGUCGACGAGACCAGGCAUGAUGAGCAGUUAUCUGAUGGCAGAGUUCUGCGAACAGGUGUGUCCUGUAAGAGACUGGUGACCGGGGAGCAGGAGCAGAAAUAUUCUGCUCGUCCGCGAGCAUGCCGUCCACGAGGCUGGGCUCCUGCUGUAGCAUGGAGCAUUCCUGCUAAAGGUUUUAAUCGAGGAGACCCGGUCAACGAGAAUUGGUGCGAUGGGCUCUGCAAUCCGAAAAUCAAGGUACUAAGGCCACGCAUUGUUAGAGUGCAAUUUAUGCACUAGUUUUGCAUUAUUUACUUCCCUUAAUAUCGAUGUUUUGCAUUUAAUAAUAAUGUUUUACUUGUGUUUUACUUUUGUAGAUGCAAUUAUAUUGAUUGAUGAUAAAAUUGAGCUAAAAGAUGAUGUUUAAGAAGGAUUGUUCUCUUGGAGAAAUUUCUGAGCGUCAGAAGAACUUUGUUGAUAAGGCGUGGGUGCGUGCUGUUAACUGCGGACCUGCAGUUUUUAGUUUAACGUGUUUUAUAUUUUUGGUUAUUUUUGUAAUUACGAAUUUAAUAUUUCAGAUAUUAGUAUUUUAUUUUAAAUAGAAUUCUAAAAGAGAAGAGAGAGAGAGUAUUUAAGGGAGGAAUCUAUUGUGAAAAAGGGGGGAUUUUUGGAUUGGAGAAAAAGAAACCCUAGAUCUAAUUUUUCUCUUCUCUCUAUGAGGAACUAAACCCAUUUUUCUGGUUGAAGGAUAAUGAAGCUUUGAUUCAUCACUACUGUGAGAUCUUUCUUGUGCUUUAAUUGUUUUAUUGCUUUUUGGGUAUUUGUUUAUUCUCUGAAUUAGUUUCAUGAUUAUGUUUGUUAAUUAGGUAAUUGGCCACUAUUUAAUUAUCAACUUAAUCUAUUGUCAAUUAAAGGAUUCAUCGUAUGAAGAAUUUAAUGUUUGUGACAAAUAACAUAGCAGAGAGUUGUGUUGUGAGAAUAAACAAUCUAAUUUAAAUGAAUCAUCUUAUGUGUUGAUUAGGAUUUGGGUCUCUCUGGUUUCUCAGGCUGUCUAUUGAUUAAAUCCUAUGAUCGUAUCUAGGGUUGUCUAUUGAUUAGGGAAGUAACCAACGGUCGUACCUUGGUUAUCGACUAGUUAAGGAGAGAUUGGCUAUUAGAGGGUCUCAGUAGCUAUAACCGAUCUAUUCAUAAGUAAUAAUAAUAAUCUAUAUUUGAAUUAAUGAUCAGUAGUCGAAUCAAGCUGAGUUAAUUCCUUCAACCAGAGCUUUCUCCAAUUUGAAUUACAACUUUAAUUUGCAUUCUUGUUUAUUUCAAUUUGAUUUUUAUUAUUGUCAACAAUUCCCCCAUUUUACGUUUUACGUUUCAAAAGGAUUUAAAUAAUUACCGAUCUCUGUGGACACGACCCUGCUCAAUCACUAUACACAAUUUAUUUAGAGUAGGAAUUUAUUUUUGUUGGCUUCGACACCCAUCAAAUUUUGGCGCCGUUGCCGGGGAUUGGUGUCAUUUAUUUAAUCCUUUUUACGUUUUACUUAGUGUAUGGUUCGUUCUUCUCGUACAUGUACACUUUCAUUUGAUCCUGAAAUUGAGAAGACAGCUCGCCAGCUGAGACAGCAGACAAAGCGAGCUAAGCAACGAUCCUCGUCGCCUUUGCUUUCUGAAACAGAUACGGUGCCUGAUUUAGUUGAAUCAUCUAGAGAUUCAGAAGAACAAGUGAUGGAUAGACCUGCACCUGUAGAAAGAACUCUUAGAGAGUUAGCUGAACCAGACUUGAAUCAACAACCACUCUGCAUUCAAUAUGUAGACUUGGAGGUAAAUUUUGAAUUAAAGUCUGGUCUUAUUCAUUUAUUACCCAAGUUUCAUGAUUUUGCAGGUGAAGAUCCCCAUAAACAUCUUAAGGAGUUUCAUGUUGUGUGUUCAAGUAUGAGACCACAAGGCGUGACUGAAGAGCAGAUUAAGCUGCGUGUUUUUCCGUUCUCUGUAGAUGGGCUAACUAAAGAUUGGUUGUACUACUUGCCUCCUGGAUCGAUUACAACGUGGAAUGGUUUGAAGAAGCAGUUCCUUGAGAAGUACUUUCCUGCUUCAAGAGCUGCCAACAUCAGAAAAGAUAUUUGUGGGAUCAGACAACUUCCUGGGGAGACUUUGUAUGAGUAUUGGGAGCGAUUCAAACAAUUGUGUGCCAGUUGUCCUCAGCAUCAGAUUUCUGAUCAACUUCUUAUUCAAUAUUUUUACGAAGGAUUGUCAUUUAUGGAUAGGAGUAUGAUAGAUGCUGCUAGUGGAGGCGUGUUGGUGAACAAGACCCCUACUCAAGCAAGGGAGUUGAUAUCAAAUAUGGCUGCCAAUGUACAACAAUUUGGCAGCAGGCAAGAUCUCACUUCAAGGAAGGUGAAUGAGGUAAAUAUUUCUUCUGUUGAACAACGUUUAGAUAAACUCACUUCUCUUGUGGAAAAGUUUGUUGUAGGUAAUGUACAACAGGUGAAGACUUGUGGUAUUUGUUACAAUAUGGGUCAUUCAACUGAUAUGUGUCCUACACUUCAAGAAGAACCCGUUGAACAAGCCAAUGCAGUUGGAGGAUUUCCAGGCAUGCCUCAGAGGAGGUAUGAUCCUUAUGCACAAACAUACAAUCCGGGAUGGAAGGAUCAUCCCAACUUCAGCUAUGGAGUUAGGCCGUCAAGAUUCCCACAACAGUAUCCACCAAGACAACCAACACCUCCACAGUCAAACUCCAAGUCAGGUAUAUCUCUUGAAGAAAUUGUUAAAUCACUUGCGACUAACACUCAACAAUUUCAGCAGGCAACUACAGCAAGCAUUCAGAACUUGGAAAACCAAGUGAGUCAAUUGGCAACUACGAUGAGCCGUCUAGAGUCUCAAGUAUCUGGGAAAUUGCCUUCACAAACUGAGGUGAAUCCAAAGCAAAACGCCAGUGCCGUCAUCCUUAGAAGUGGGAAGGAGUUGCAAGAGCCUAGUAAGAAAGUGACAGAGCAUGUAGAAGAUGAGCUUGAAAAGAAUGAAUUGAUGCCUAAAUCUCAGGAUGCGCAACCCACCAGAGCGAAACCCCUACCUAUUGUGAUACCUCCUCCUUUUCCAAGCAGGUUUGCAAAAUCCAAGAAGGAGGAACAAGAGAAAGACAUCCUUGAGACAUUUCGCAAGGUUGAGGUAAAUAUUCCCUUAUUAGAUGCUAUAAAACAAAUACCUCGAUAUGCUAAAUUUCUUAAGGAACUGUGCACCUCCAAGAGAAAAUUAAGAGGAGAUGAAAGAGUUCAUAUGGGGGAGAAUGUUUCAGCAGUUCUCCAAAAGAAAUUACCUCCCAAGUGCAAGGAUCCAGGUAUGUUUACUAUCCCUUGCAAAAUUGGUAGUGUUAGAGUUGAGAAGGCUAUGUUAGAUCUAGGAGCUUCUAUUAAUGUCAUGCCUCGUUCUAUUUAUUCGUCUUUGAAUAUUGGUGCAUUAAAAGAAACUGACGUGAUAAUUCAACUAGCUGAUAGGUCUAAUGCAUAUCCUGAUGGGGUAUUAGAAGAUGUCUUAGUACAAGUUAAUGAGUUGGUUUUUCCUUCUGAUUUUUAUGUACUUGAUAUGGAAGAUGAUAACUCCUCUAAUUCUAUCCCAAUUUUGCUAGGAAGACCUUUUCUUAAGACUGCUAGAACUAAAAUGGAUGUACAUAAAGGGACUCUUACUAUGGAGUUUGAUGGAGAGGUUAUAGAGUUCAAUAUGUAUGAUGCCAUGAAAUAUCUCAGUGAGGAACAUUCGGUAUUUUCUAUGGAUGUUAUUAACCCUAUAGUGCAGGAAGUUUUUUAUUUGGAUGUUGAAGAUUCAUUAGUAGCUGCUUUAAAUAACAGUUUGGGCCUCAAAGGAUUGCAAAAGGAUGAAAAUGAGUUUGUUUUAAAUUCUGUAUUGCAAGAGACAAUUUAUGAAUUAAAUUCUUUGAGAACUUUAACUCAUUAUAUGUCUAAUAAUGAAUUACCUUCAUCUAAUGCAAAACUUCUUCCAUCUAUUUUGCAGGCACCAAAAAUAGAGCUUAAACCAUUGCCUAGUCAUCUAAAGUACAUGUUUUUAAGAGAUGAUGAGACACUUCCGGUGAUCAUCUCUUCAAAGCUUAGUACUUUAGAGGAAGAGAAACUUAUUAGAGUGCUACGAGAUUACAAAAAGGCUAUUGGGUGGACAAUUGCAGAUAUUAAAGGGAUAAGUCCGUCCACGUGCAUGCAUAGAAUACUGCUGGAGGAAGAUGCCAAACCUUCAAUUCAAGCUCAACGCUGUUUGAAUCCACUCAUGAUGGAAGUAGUGAAGAAAGAAAUUCUAAAACUUCUUGAUGCAGGUAUAAUCUAUCCAAUUUCGAAUAGCAAAUGGGUAAGUCCGGUACAAGUGGUACCAAAGAAAACUGGUAUAACAAUUGUUGAGAAUUCUUAUGGUGAGUUAGUUCCUACCCGAGUUCAGAAUGGGUGGAGGGUUUGUAUUGAUUUUAGAAAGCUUAAUUCACUCACUAGGAAGGAUCAUUUUCCUAUUCCUUUUAUUGAUCAGAUGCUUGAAAGGUUGGCAGGAAAAUCUCACUUUUGUUGUCUUGAUGGCUAUUCAGGUUUUCAUCAGAUACCAGUUGCGCCUGAGGAUCAGGAGAAGACUACCUUCACAUGUCCUUUUGGAACCUUUGCAUACCGACGUAUGCCAUUUGGUCUUUGUAACGCUCCCGCCACUUUUCAGAGGUGCAUGGUUAGUAUUUUUUCAGACUAUGUAGAAAACACUAUAGAGGUAUUUAUGGACGAUUUUACAGUCUAUGCUGAUUCUUUCGAUGAUUGUCUCUAUAAUCUGAAGAAAGUGCUUGAAAGAUGCAUUGAAACAAACCUUGUCUUGAAUUAUGAAAAAUGUCAUUUUAUGGUAGAUCAAGGCAUUAUUUUGGGUCAUGUAGUCUCUGCUAGAGGAAUUGAGGUAGAUAAAGCUAAAAUAGAUGUUAUUAAAUCUUUACCUUAUCUCACAUGUGUGCGGAAAGUUCGUUCUUUCCUUGGUCAUGCAGGUUUCUAUAGACGAUUUAUCAAGGAUUUUUCGAAGAUAGCUCAGCCUUUAUGCAAGCUUCUUCAGAAAGAUGUGACGUUUGAUUUUAAUAAAGCAUGCAAGGUAGCAUUUGAUAAACUUAAGGAGUUGUUGACUUCAGCUCCAAUUAUACAGCCACCAGACUGGAGCCUCCCUUUUGAGAUAAUGUGCGACGCCAGUAAUUAUGCUGUUGGUGCUGUUCUCGGACAAAGGGUUGGAAGAGCUGCUCAUGUGAUAUAUUACGCAUCAAGAACACUUGAUAGUGCUCGGUGCAAUUACUCAACAACAGAAAAAGAACUUUUAGCUAUUGUUUUUGCUUUAGAAAAAUUCCGUUCAUAUUUAUUGGGUACUAAAGUGAUUGUUUUUUCUGACCAUGCAGCUCUCAGAUAUUUGCUCGCCAAGAAGGAAGCAAAACCGAGACUUAUUCGCUGGAUCCUAUUGCUUCAAGAAUUCAACUUGGAGAUCCGUGACAAGAAAGGAACAGAAAACUUAGUUGCAGACCACCUUAGUAGAUUGACCACGAGUGAAGAAGCAGCACCUUCGAAAGAUGAUUUUCCAGAUGAGCAUCUCUUUAUAACUCAAGGUAUGGUUCCUUGGUACGCUGACAUUGUCAAUUACUUAGUUACAAGAAUACUACCUAGUGAUCUGACGAGGGCUCAAAAGGAUAAAAUUAAGAGCGAUGCUAAAUACUAUGUUUGGGAUGACCCUUACUUGUGGAAACAUUGCUCUGACCAAGUCAUCAGAAGGUGCGUAUCUGAGUUUGAAAUUCCUUCUAUUCUUCAAUUUUGUCACUCAUAUGCAUGUGGUGGUCAUUUUGGUCCCAAAAGGACAGCAUCCAAGGUGUUAGAAUGUGGUUUAUUUUGGCCUACUUUAUUUCGUGAUUCAUAUAUGUUUUGUAAGUCGUGUGAGAGUUGUCAAAAGACUGGUAAUUUAAGUCAUAGAAAUCAAAUGCCACUUACCCCUAUUCUUGUAUAUGAAAUAUUCGAUGUGUGGGGCAUUGAUUUUAUGGGACCUUUUCCCUCAUCUUUUGGCAAUUCUUACAUUCUUUUAGCAGUGGAUUACGUUUCUAAGUGGGUAGAGGCUAAGGCCACCCGGACUGACAAUGCUAAAGUUGUUGUAGAUUUUGUCAAGUCUAAUAUUUUUGCUAGGUUUGGUGUACCGAGAGCGAUGAUAAGUGAUAGAGGCACUCAUUUCUGUAAUCGAGUGGUGGAAGCUCUGUUCAAAAGAUAUCAUGUUACCCACCGAGUGUCUACCGCCUAUCAUCCACAGACAAGUGGACAAGCUGAGAUAUCAAACAGAGAAAUCAAGUCUAUUCUUGAAAAGACAGUUAGUCCAAAUCGAAAGGAUUGGAGUUUGCGAUUAGAUGAUGCAUUAUGGGCGUAUCGCACCGCUUACAAAACUCCCAUAGGUAUGUCUCCUUAUCGUUUAGUAUUUGGUAAGCCUUGUCAUUUACCUGUAGAACUUGAGCACAGAGCAUACUGGGCAGUUAAGCAAUGCAAUAUGCGGAUGGAUGAAGCGGGAAAGCAGAGGAAGUUGCAGCUGCAAGAGUUGGAGGAGAUUAGAAAUGAAUCCUACGAGAGUUCGCGAUUUUACAAGGAAAAGACGAAGACAUUUCAUGACAGAAUGAUUUUGAGAAAGGAGUUCUCUGUUGGUCAAAAAGUUCUUCUCUUUCACUCUAAACUUAAACUUUUUCCUGGUAAAUUACGUUCUCGUUGGGUAGGACCUUUUAUUGUUACUAAUAUUUUUCCUCAUGGUGCAAUUGAGAUUCGGAGUCCAAUCUCGAAUAAAGCCUUUAAGGUUAAUGGUCAUCGUUUAAAACCUUUUUACGAAGGUUUUUCGGUGAAUAUUGUGGAGGAAUUGGCUCUCGAGAAUCCUAUUUAUGGAGAUUGAUACAUAAAUGUGUCUAGCCAAAGACAUAAAACAAAGGCGCUUUUUGGGAGGCAACCCAAAUGAUUUGUUUAUUUUGGUUUUUGUUUUAUCUUCUUUAAAAAAAAAAAAAAAAAAAACCAAAAAUCGAAAAUCACUGUUUACAAAUCCCUAAUUCAAAAAUUACUGUUGAUUAUCGUUUUACAGCAGCAUCAGCUCCAGCCUUCACCGCGCAACCAGCAGCAGCAGACGAGUACGCCCAGAACCAGCAGCAAGCUCCAACAUCCCCAGCCCGCGCGCGCAGCGCGAAUCAGCCCCAACCGCCGCGCACAGCAUCGCGUACCCCAACCAGCAGUAGCGCGAAUCAGCCUCAGCGCAGCAUAUCAGUCCCGCGCGCGUAGCGCAACAGAUCCGCAACGCAGACCCGCAACGCGAACUGGCUCUCGCGCGCAACAGCCCCGCGCGCGCAACACAACAACGAACCAGCACCCGCAAAGCAAGCCUCAGCAGCGCGCACAACCAGCCCCAACUCGCGCAACAAGCUCCAGCCGAGCAGCAAGCGCAACACAACCAGCCUACGCCCUGUAUUCCAGCCGGGUAAAUCGAAAUCCGUGAGUGCAAUUAUUGUAACAAUGCCGAAGAGGAAAGCAUCUACUUCCAAGUCGUCGAAAAAGACACCCGUCGCAAAGAAAUCUAAGAUUGCCGCUCCCACUACGGUUCCAUGGAACAUAAUUUCAGAUUCACGCCAAGCCGUGAGACAAAGAUCGAAGCAUGGAAAAGGCAUGAGUGUUUUGCCACUUGCGGAAUCCAAUCUCGGAGGGUGCCUCGCAUUCGCGACUCAACAAGAGAAAGAGAGGUACAAAGAUAUUUCCACGCGCAAAAUACUUCCAGCUAAGUAUAUUCAUUACCCGACUCUUGAAAAAUUAAAUGUUAAAGAUAAUUUUGAUUCUUUGAUAGAUAAGAUUGGGUUGCGUAAGUUUGUUGAUGUUGAUUGCUUGGGUUAUGUUGAGUUGAUUAGGGAGUUUUAUGCUACUUUUCAAUUCACUAUGCCGAAUGAUUUUACUUUGCAUACCCCGGAUGUCAUUAAGUUUAGGUUAAUGGGACGAAAUUUUUCACACUCUAUCACGGAUUUUAACCUAGCUUUAGGAUUCAUUGAUGAUGAUUAUUCUACUAGUGAUGAAUAUUUAGGAACAACUUGUGACUUUAGCGAAAAUUUUGAGCCUUAUGGUCUUUGGCGUAAUUUAUCUGUUGAUCACAAUGCCUAUGACCCGAGUAAAUCAAAGAGUUCUUUCUUACGUGAUCCUGUUUUGAAAUGUGUGCAUCGAUUCUUAGCAUAUAAUUUUUUAGGCAAGAAAGAUCACUCAGGAAUUUUCUCUAAAACUGAAUUUUAUUUUAUCUGGUGCAUGUUAAAUGAUGUGAGGCCUAAUUUAGGUUUUUGGUUAGCGGAUCAAUUUCAAAGUGUGCUUAAACGGUAUAGGACUUUAUUUCUUGGUCCAUACAUUACUCUGUUAGCUAUAAACCUAUGUGUGCUUGAUCCUGACAAUAAUGAUUUGCAUCCUGCUUGCAAAAAGGAAUUUUUGGAUAUGUCUGUGUUUGAAAGAACAGGUGUGGUCGAAUUCAAGGAGGGGAGAUUUCAGUUUACUGAACCAGGACCCACUCAACUUCCGAAGAAGCUUUAUGCUAGGAGUGGUGCUACCUCUGAUGACGAGUUUGACGACGACACUGUUGCCCCGCCAACUAUUCCUUCUACAUCCGCACCACCUUUGAGCAUUCAGUUAGAGAAAAUGGAGCACAAGUUGAACAAAAUGGAGCAGAAUUUGGCCGCAUACUUCGAGAGUGUGGGAUUUACCCCACCAUUUCCGCCAAGCCCAUAGACGUUAUGUGGAUCAAAGCUCACAAUUCAGGGAAGUUUCUUUUUGCCCUUAAACUUUUAUCCUUAUGCUUUAAUUUUUAUGUGAGCUUUGAUUAUCUUACAUUGGGGACAAUGUAAGUUCUUGGUGUGGGGGAGGGAUUUUUGCAUUAUUGAUGUCUGGAAUUAUUGUUUUCACUCUACUUAUCUUUUUUUUUUUCUUCACUCUACUCAUCCUUAAAUGAUUUUGGAGUUAGUAUGCUUUAUAUAUUAUUAUUUUUUCUUUUCUUUUAUUUCUCACUACUUUUUUUUUCCCAUCUAUCUCAAAUUAUUUACAUCUAUUUUUAUUCUAUCAUACUCUUUCAUCACUCACAUUUUAUCUUUCACUUUUCAUCUUUCUCACUUCUUAUCAUUUUUACCUUUCCUUUUAUAUAUCACUCAUACCUUCUUCUCAUUCUACACCACUAUUGAUGGUUGAUUCAUUUGAAGAGUGUACAUGAUUUGAUGGCAAAUUUACCAACUUUGUGAGGAUUUGAGCCUAUGAGCAACCACUUUGCUCUAAUUAUUUUUGUUAUGUGAAUAUCAAUCCUAGUUUGUUUAUUCUAGAACUUGCUUUGUUAUGCAUGUUGAAGCCACAUUACGGGAUUUUAGGCAUUAAAAUGAUAAGGGCAAACCAUUUACCAUUUUUCUAUUCUCGCAUUUUCAUUUUUCUUUACCCGAAGACCUUAAUUUGCUACCUUUGUUUGAGCCUUAACCAUUACCCAUCUAAUUCUCUCCGUCUACUUAACCAUUUUUCUUCUUUUUGAGCCUCAAUUUAAGGAGAUUUUUGGACUCAUUAUAUGGAUAUAUUUUGUUGCUUUUUCUACCUUGUAUUAAAGUUUCUCAAUUAGAUCAACAAGCAUUAUGCUUGAAUUCAAUUGUGCAAGGUUCGUUUCUUUUGUUUGAUUCGAAAAAAAAAAAAAACAAAAAAAAAAAUGAAAAAAAAAAAGAAAAAAAAAGAAAAAAAAAAGAAAAAAAAAAGAAAAAGAAAAAUCGAAAAAAAAAAUCGAAAAAAAAAAAUGUUUACAUUCUUGGUGACUUGAGUAGAAAUAAGCAUUUUGAUAUCAUAAGUUCAUUCAAUGAGUUCAUUCUUCUCAUUUUGAUCUCUUUUUCUUUCGUAAACCUUUCUUUUUCAUUUAACCCAUUUAACCCCAUUACAACCCUUUUAAGACCCUUAGAUUUUUGCAUUUUAUUCAUGUUUUGUGGAUUGAGAUGUGAUUUAUGAGCAAGCUUAUGAUAAUAGCAUUCUUUGAUUUGAUUUGAGUGGAUAAAUGACACCCUAAACACUUUGAGUGCAUGGAGUGAAGUUAUUGAGAGGGCUAUUACAUCUUGUUGCACUUGAAUUUUGAAUGGAUAUUCUUGGUGGUUGAAUGUUCUUAUUCUAUCUUAUGAGAUUCUAUGCUUUAAAAUCCUUGUCUCUUGAAUGUUGAUCGACUUAAUUUCUUGAGGUAUGCUUGCUUAAAAUUAUUUUUGGAUGAGUUGAGAUGAGAAUUGAGUGGAGAUUUAGGAUUAAUCUUGAGUUAUAUGCUUGAGGACAAGCAUCAUCUUGGUGUGGGGGAAUUUGUUAGAGUGCAAUUUAUGCACUAGUUUUGCAUUAUUUACUUCCCUUAAUAUCGAUGUUUUGCAUUUAAUAAUAAUGUUUUACUUGUGUUUUACUUUUGUAGGUGCAAUUAUAUUGAUUGAUGAUAAAAUUGAGCUAAAAGAUGAUGUUUAAGAAGGAUUGUUCUCUUGGAGAAAUUUCUGAGUGUCAGAAGAACUUUGUUGAUAAGGCGUGGGCGCGUGCUGUCAACUGCGGACCUGCAGUUUUUAGUUUAACGUGUUUUGUAUUUUUGGUUAUUUUUGUAAUUACGAAUUUAAUAUUUCAGAUAUUAGUAUUUUAUUUUAAAUAGAAUUCUAAAAGAGAAGAGAGAGAGAGUAUUUAAGGGAGGAAUCUAUUGUGAAAAAGGGGGGAUUUUUGGAUUGGAGAAAAAGAAACCCUAGAUCUAAUUUUUCUCUUCUCUCUAUGAGGAACUAAACCCAUUUUUCUGGUUGAAGGAUAAUGAAGCUUUGAUUCAUCACUACUGUGAGAUCUUUCUUGUGCUUUAAUUGUUUUAUUGCUUUUUGGGUAUUUGUUUAUUCUCUGAAUUAGUUUCAUGAUUAUGUUUGUUAAUUAGGUAAUUGGCCACUAUUUAAUUAUCAACUUAAUCUAUUGUCAAUUAAAGGAUUCAUCGUAUGAAGAAUUUAAUGUUUGUGACAAAUAACAUAGCAGAGAGCUGUGUUGUGAGAAUAAACAAUCUAAUUUAAAUGAAUCAUCUUAUGUGUUGAUUAGGAUUUGGGUCUCUCUGGUUUCUCAGGCUGUCUAUUGAUUAAAUCCUAUGAUCGUAUCUAGGGUUGUCUAUUGAUUAGGGAAGUAACCAACGGUCGUACCUUGGUUAUCGACUAGUUAAGGAGAGAUUGGCUAUUAGAGGGUCUCAGUAGCUAUAACCGAUCUAUUCAUAAGUAAUAAUAAUAAUCUAUAUUUGAAUCAAUGAUCAGUAGUCGAAUCAAGCUGAGUUAAUUCCUUCAACCAGAGCUUUCUCCAAUUUGAAUUACAACUUUAAUUUGCAUUCUUGUUUAUUUCAAUUUGAUUUUUAUUAUUGUCAACAAUUCCCCCAUUUUACGUUUUACGUUUCAAAAGGAUUUAAAUAAUUACCGAUCUCUGUGGACACGACCCUGCUCAAUCACUAUACACAAUUUAUUUAGAGUAGGAAUUUAUUUUUGUUGGCUUCGACACCCAUCACGCAUCCACCCACGAUUACAGAAAUGGAGCAUCCACGUCCGAGAGGUGGGAGGAUAACGAGCGCAAAUGAGGGGAAGGUCUGGAGUCAGGAGGACCUAUAAAAAGGUAGCCAACGAAGGUAAAAGGGUUAGACUUUUCACUGUUAGAACUAAGAAAAGAGAGCUCUAAGAACUGAGAUUAAAAAGAAGCCAUAAGAUUCGUGGCAUAGAUUCCCAAAACCUUCAUUUCUGACUUGAGUGUCGGAGGGUUUGCGCCGGGGAACCAACCGGCGUACUCUGACCUGUCUGUGUACGCAGGAACUUCUGGAGAAGAAGCUUUACGAGGAGAGAUCCUGAUCGUGGUGACGUUGAUCGAGCAGAGCUCCUGGUCGUAUAACGAGGAGGACCAGAAUCUCGCAUCAACAUGUACAUUAGUGUUUUUUUUUUUUUUUGGGGGGGGGGUGGAAUUUUUUUAUUGGCACAGGAAGAAAGCUCUUCGGCACUACUCGGAAGAAGAAUAUGAGCAACACAUGGUCCAAUUCGCAUUGUAUGGAAGUAAAACCGAAGCAUUAGACCAAAAGCAAACCUUAUUCAUAUUUUUAGUUACUGAUAACAAUUUCUUUCCCCUCUUAUUAUCAUCUUAAUUAAGAAAUAUAGUAAUUCGUUAACUUUUUGGGAAAUUAAAAAGGAUGGCAAUAUACAAUAUUCUUGUGUUGAUGACCUUAAAAGCUAGUUCCCUUGAAACAGGAAAACUGGUAUCGUUUUUCAAAGCACAUAAAUGAUAUAUCCCAGCUUUCAAUGUGAUCGAAAGAUUUCAUAGCCACACUCAAAAUUAAUAAAUGAUCCCUAAGAAUUACGAAAAUGAUAUCAAUGAAAUUACAAACUCUUCAAGAGUUUAUAGAACAUUAAUUGAUCCAAAGCCAAUACAAACUGCUUACUAGUACAGCAUCAAGAGAGCCAUUUAUUUUUUCAGUAGGCAAAUUAAACAACUGCAGCAGUCACUAGCGAGCUAGUAUAGACCAAUUGUUCAUCUACCAACUAAUUGUGAAAUUGUUACAUCAUUGCUUGAACAUAUUUCUGAUCCAAUCGUGGCUUUAUUUUGUUCGUCUUCAUAAUCUUUGUUUGAGAAAUCGGAGUCCAUUCGAUGAGUCUAUCAGCAUUCUUUAACUAAUUAUUAGAUUAAAUGUAUAAAUUUAAAACUAGUAAAAGUUUAGAAUAUGAAAGAACCUUGAUUCAUUCAAGAAAUAAUUAAAAUUUUAAUCCUUUUCAAACUGAUUAAUAUUAACCUUAUCAUUAUAAGAAAACACGAUUUAAAAGAAAAAAAAAAUCUCACAAAGUUGGUGUGUGGAAUAGUCAAUACGUUGUGUCCUUGAUUUUUUACAAACUCUUAAGAGUCUAUAGAUGUAGUUAGUGAUAUUACAUUACAUUAAUUGAUCCAAAUCCAAUACAAACUGCUUACCAGUACAGCCUCAAGAGAGUCAUUUAUUAUUCAAUUGGCAAAUUAAACAACUACAGUAGUCACUAGCAGCUUGCCAAGAGCUAUAGCGUAGAUCAAUUGUUAUCUACCAACCAAUUGUGAAAUUGUUACAUCAUUACUUGAACAAAUUUCCAAUCCAAUCGUGGCUUUCCUUUGUUCAUCUUCGUAAGCUUGCUUUGAGAAAGUUUCAGGCUUCUUUGGAGUCAUUAUAUCAGCCGUGCUCUCAUUUUCGAGCAUCGAAGAAACUUCCAGCAUAGAAGGUCUAUCGUCUGGGUUCUCCUGAACACACAACAGAGCUAUUUGCAGACAUGUUAGCAAUUUCCACGAGGAAUGCGUAUCAUCUAGUGAUGUAUCCAUUAACCCCAUGCCUUUCCCAUCUUUCCACAGCUCAUAAGCCUGUAAAUAUCGAAUAUGUUAUUGAGUUACAUUCAAUUAAUUAGCACUAUAAAGUUUUGAUCCAGUGUGCAUUAUAAAGGGGGUUAUGAAGAAACUUACAUACUGUACAAGGCUUAAAUUUUCAUUCUGGCCAGAUUGAACGAACAAUCUUCUUCCACUUAUAAUUUGCAAAAGUAAAACCCCAAAACUGUAGACAUCAGAUUUGGUGGAGUAGAUGCCUCUCGUCACAUACUCAGGAGGGAUAUAGCCACUGUUGUACCAAGUACUUACAAAUAUCAGUUAAAUUGUUUGACCUAAAAGGUUAAGCUGAUUGGUAAAGGCUCAACAAUAGUAUUAAAGACAAGUCGAAAAAUAGACGUAUAUACACUUACUGUGUUCCAACAAUUCGACUGGUGUUUGCUUCAAGGUCGUCUUUCACAAAAAUUCUAGCUAAGCCAAAAUCUGAUAUUUUAGGCUUCAUAUCUUCAUCCAAUAAAACGUUACUAGCUUUCAAAUCUUGAUGAAUAAUUGUUAAUCUAGAAUAUUCUUGAAGAUAGAGAAGCCCUUGAGUUAUUCCUUAAAUGAUAUGAAUGCGUUUUUUCCAAUCCAAAAUAAACCUUCGGAUGGAAUCUACAUCAAAUAUAAGUAUAGUUGGACGGUCGGUAGCAUUAGCAUUUGGAGAUGAGAAAGCAAAUGGAGGCACAUAAAUUAAAAAUUAAGCAGUUAAGCUCAUACCAAAAAGGAAAUAGUCCGAGCUUCGUUUUGGCAUGUACUCAUAGAUCAGCAUUUGUUCUUCUCUGUCAAUGCAAAAACCUAAAACCCUAAUAAGAUUUACAUGUUGGAGUUUUGCAGUAAGCAUAACCUCAUUCUUGAACUCCUCAAAUCCUUGUUUGGAUGUCUUUGAGAGUUUCUUCACAGCUAUUACCUGUCCAUCAGGUAAUACACCCUGCAAACAACCCCAAAACAUUAAAAAGAAAAAAAAACGCAAUGUUCAUAUACAUGUGUGUGUGUGUAUUUCGCUAAUUAAUUAAUAAGAUGAGAGAUAGCCAAGCUAUCGAUAUAUAACCUUGUAAACAGGGCCAUAUCCACCCUCCCCGAGCUUAUUUUCAAUUGAAAAUCUAUCCGUGGCCACCUCAAUAUCAGCCAAGCUAUAUUCUCUAAGAUCAGGAUCAUUGCUGUUAAAAUCUCCAGCAUGUGCUUGACUGUUUGCUCCGUCCUUUGAUGACUUGGCUGAGUCAAUUACUAUCCCAAUUAAUAUCAACCAAGGAAAAAAAAAAAAAAAAGCUAAUUUAAGUAAAUUGCCCACUUCUUCAACUGCGCUAAAUAGAAUAGAAGUAAAAAUAAUCCUAAACCAGUGUAGAAGAAGUUACCUUUUAAUUUGGGGUUUUUCAUCCAGCAGUAGUAAUAUAGACAAAAACCUAGUAGAAGAAUACAAGCUGCAGUUGUAGGCAAAACAAUUACCCAUAAUGGUCGCUUAUUUUGACCAUUCUUGUCAUCCUCUUCAGCUGAAAAGUCAAAUCACUUUGCGUUGGUUAGCCAUUGAUGCUGAAAUAAAGAUCUUAAUUCAAGUCAUUAUCCAGAAAAGUGAUCAACGGAUUGCAGUGAGUGCGGAAUUCCAUUUGCUUACCUGCAGCUUGAGAAAGCAUCCAAUCAUGAUCAUAGGAAACUAGCCACACAUGGUAACCGCGUAGCUUCUUCUCCUUGGCAUAAGCAACCUUCACUCUAAUGGCCUCCACAUCAUCAAAACCAAACCAAAUCUUCCCAAUCGAGCAGUAGUUCACCACAUAAGUUGAAUUGUACAUAACUUGGACAUUAGGACCAUAGCUCUUGAUGCGAUUCUUGAUUUCCUUGUAAGUCACAAGACCAUUUUCACUCAAAGCUGCUCCCGUUGCUGCUGCACCAAUACCAUUGUCCUCAGGUUUCACAAGCUUCCAUGCAUAGCCAUAGAAAGGCAAACAUAAAACCAAUUUAUCAGCCGAUAACCCUUCCUCAAUCCAUUCCGUGAUUCCGUAUUCAGUACUAUAGUCACUAUUUGGAUCAUACAGAGCCGCAUGAGCACCAGUAAAAUUUGUCCACGUAGGGGCUGAGUAAUCAGUAGUGAAAACAUGGACCCAAUUCAAGUACUGUCUUAUAAAGUCGACUGGAUAAGUUGCUUCUGUUAAGAAUGGUGAAUAUGAAACCGUUGCCGUCAAAAUCAACUGUGAUUGGCUCGAGUUAUUUCUUGCUUCUAAAUCUACGGCAGCUCGCCACUCUUUAAAGAGAAUGGCAAUAUUGUAAUUAUCCCAGCUUGUGUUUGCCUUAGACCAAGACAGAUCUAAGCCUUGAAAGCCAUAAAGCCUUGCUAUGUUUAUUGAGGAGUCAAUGAAGGAUUUCCUGGAAGAAGGAUUGCUUGCCAUGGAAGAAUAAGUUGAAUAGCUUACAUCAUUUCCUCCUCCGAUGGAGAGAAGUGUAGUGAUUGAUGGGUUCUUUAUUUUGACUGUGUGCGUGAAGUUGGAGAAUUGUUUUUCAUCCGAAGGUGAUAAAGAGAGCUCGUAGGAAGUUGAGUUGACAUCAGCAAAACCACACAUAAGGUGAGUGAAGAGAGCAGAAUUUACAUCUGAAACAGGGAACCCAUCGCCUGAAUCCCAGUAACCAGCUCUGAUUAAAGUUUGUGCUCUUGCAGGAAGCGAUUCUGAAAAUAUAAAAAUGUGGAGGACAAGAAUGAUAAUUUUGGAUGCCAUUGUGGGAACCUGGCUGCUUGAGGCAUACCUAGUAUGUGAUUAUAUAUUUGUACACACACAAAAUGUAAUGGAGAAAUUAUCCUAUACCGAUUGAGAUUAGUUAUUGCACUAAUAAUGCAAACUUGAGUCAACUUUCAACUUAUGAGCUUAGUCCAUAAGUUUUUAUAAUACGAUAUCAAAAUCAAGUUAUGAAUGAGGGACCCUAUAAUACCUUCCAACCUAACUUAAUAAUUAAUCUUAGCCAAUGUGACAUACUUGUUCUAUCGCUUUAUCACGACCAAGUCGAUCUUUUAGCUUUGUCUUUUUUUCAUGAUAAUAAGUGAUAAGAUUGAAGUUCUUAAAUUAAGCUAUGACUUUUUACCUCCGCUUAGCUUGACUUCUGAAGUUGGAGACUCGUUCUUUUGUAUUGACUUUGUUGGUAUUUAAAUGAACUCGGAGUCCUCGACGAGUUUCUGAAGCGAAGUCAUUAUUCCUCUAUGACUCCAUCCAUGCAAUUGGAAGGCAAAAUCUUGUGAAAAUAUUUUCUAAGUUGAUUCAGUCCAUGAUCAACGUGCACAAAACGCAAAAUCUUGCGAAAAUCAAACCCGUCCUCACUCAUGAGCUCGAUUUCUAGCUUAAACUCCUCCUCACUCAUGACCUCACUUUAAUUACAGCUUGUCAUUGAAUUGAGUGUUGCCUUAAUUAAGCCAUCAACUUAAUAAAGUGAUGGUCAUUAAGAAAUACACUUAGUUACUUCCUGAUGGUAAGAUUCAAUAAUAUUGUAAUUUAAAAAAAAGAAGAAAAGAUCCAUAUACCUUUUCCUUGUGUAAUUUAAUUUUCAGUCCAGUCCACCCUCCCAUUUUAUCAUAAAAGUCUAUACAAACAUACGUUUUACUCAAUGUUUACUUAGAAACAAAUGGUGGGCGUACGAGUGCCGAUCUAGUACCACUCUCGUAUACUUGGUGGGAUUCGGCUUCACCAAAUUUGUAGCAUAUAUUUUACUUUAAUGAGAAAAUCAAAUAAUUAUUGAACAAAUAAUUUUUUUUUCAAUAUACUUUCUUAAAAUGUAUGGAGUUGGUAAAGUGCAAAUUCAUUUUUUAGCCCUUUGACUCCUCCAAAAUCCAAACUCAAAUUAAUGGUCAGUUAAAUAAUGUUACUUGAAAAUCAUUUCCUAUCUAGAAUUUGUUUAAUUCUAUUAAUUUACAAUCGUUUUUCAUUUUACUUAAUUAAUUAAAGUGAAUUUAUUAUGUAUACAUCUACAUACGUAAAAUCUUAAAAUUCAGUGUUGAAUUGAAUUGUACUAAAUUUUUUAUAAUUUUUUGUGAGACCUGCGUUUUUAACAGUUUAAUAUUAAUAUUGAUAGCACAUAAUAUACCGGAUUAAGAGAGAUUGAUUUCGACUGCUACAAGAUUUUUAGGAUUGCAUGCACAAGGGUUUAAAAACAAAGUAUACACUUAAUUACACUAAACGAGGGUGCAUUUUUAUGAUGAAAUAAAAACUAUGUACAGGUUGUAAAAGUGGCUCCAUAAUUAGUGUACAUUAACAAUCAUCUAGCUACCACUUCCGAAAAUGAUAAAUCACAAGCCGAACAUUUUUCCAAUUGUGUUGUAGAUAAUAGUUCAAUCCCAAUUUCAUCAACUUGUUUUGAGAAAGCAGGCUUCUUGGGAGUAUUUAUAUUUGUGGUUUCAUUCUUGAGCAUUGAGGAAACUUCCAGCAUUGAAGGUCUAUCGUUUGGAUUCUCCUGGACACACAACAAAGCUAUUUCCAGACAUCUCAUUAAUUUACAAGGGGAAUUUGUAUUGUCUAGGAAUGAAUCCACAAACUCCACGCCUUUGCCACCUUUCCACAACUGAUAUGCCUGAAAUUAUCAAGUACCAUCUCGUUACAUAAUUUAUACUUCUUAAUUAAGUGCGCAUAUGUGUACUCAGGGUUACUAUAGCCGAAGAAACUUACGUGCUCUAGAAUGCUUAAAUUUUCAUUGAUGCCACAUAACACUGAAAGCCUCUUUCCACUUAUGAUUUGUAGAAGUAAAACUCCGAAACUAAAAACGUCUGAUUUGGUAGAGUAUACACCUUGUCUGGCGUACUCAGGAGGAAUAUAGCCUCUGCAUUCAAAAUAACCAAGUAUAUAUGAGUAAGGGAUUUUGCAAUUUAAUAAAUUUGUAAAACCCAUUUUAAAUUGUGGUAAAAGUCCAUUCUGCAUUUUAUUAAAGUGCUGAAUUCCUUAUUCGAAACCCAAUAUAUGUAUAACAAACAGAAGCUUGAGUAAAGGAUAUCAUUUAGAUGUAAUAUACUUACAUUGUUCCCACAAUUUGUUCUGUAUUCGCUUCGAGACUCUCUUUUGCAAAAAUCCUAGCCAUACCAAAAUCUGAAAUUUUAGGUUUCAUACCUUCACCUAACAAAACAUUACUGGCUUUCAAGUCUCGAUGAAUAAUAGUCAGUCUUGAGUAUUCUUAGAGGUAUAAAAGCCCUUGAGUUAUCCCUUCAAUGAUAUGAACACGUUUUUUCCAAUCCAAAAGAAGUCUUUUGAUGGGAUCUACAACAAAUAUAUAGUUUUGGACAAUAAGUGAUAUACAAAUGAAUUAUAUACACAUUUGAUAUUAACUUGAUUUCAGAACAAACCAAAAAGGUAGCAAUCCAAGCUUUUGUUUGGCAUGUAUUCGUAGACCAGCAUCCGUUCCUCACUCUCAAUGCAAAAACCUAAAACUCUAAUAAGAUUUACAUGUUGGAGUUUUGCAGUAAGCAUAACCUCAUUCUUAAACUCCUCAAAUCCCUGUGCGGAUGAUUUCGAAAGUUUCUUCACUGCUAUCACCUCUCCACAGGGUGAUACACCCUGCAACCCAAAAAAAAAAACCACGUUCAUAUAAAGCUUUCACUAGUUAGAGAAGCUGAGAAAUGUUAGCCAAACAAUAUGCUACCCCCCAAAGUUGAGGGCACCAUUUUAAGUUCUUUAAGUCCCCAUGGACGCAAAAUGUAAAUCUCCUCUCACAGAAUAUGGAUAUGGGUAGAGGUAUCUUCCUAAAAUGUUAGUCGAAGUAGUUAUAUCCCUCUAGUGUGAGGUUAGAGGUCUCAUCUCUAAUAGGCAUAGAUUUUUAAAUUAUAUGUUUUGGGCCUCUGAAUUCUACGACGAGUGUACAAAUUCAAACUUCCGAUAGGAUCCAAAUUGAAACAUUGUGGAUUGUAACAAAUUAAAAUAUAGGUACACACACACACACACACACACAUGUUACCUUGUAAACAGGACCAUAUCCACCCUCCCCAAGCUUAUUUCUAAUUGAAAAUCCCUCGGUGGCCGCCUCAAUAUCAGCCAAACUAUAUACUCUGAGAUUAGGAACAUUUCUGUUAAAGUCUCCAGCUUCUGUUUCAUUAUUUGCUGUCGUGUUUGAUGCUUUAGCAGAAUCCUCUGUUCCUAACAUCAACCAAGAGUACAUAUUAGAUAAAUAAUUGUAUGUCAGCCUCAGAUUUAUGUGUAUAUAUAUGAAUGAAAUUCAUGCUUAAUUAUAAUUGAUAGCUGAAACUUGUUACCUUCUAUUAAAUUGAGCCUUUUCAUCUGGUUGUAUUUAUAUGCACAACAGCCUAGAAGGAGAGUCAAAGCUGCCGCUGCAGUAGAAAUGAGUGCAAUGGACAGAUGGCGGUUAUUACUAUGUUCAUCUUUGUCAGCUGAAGCAGAAGUAAUCCUUUCUUUUUGUGCUGGAAAUAUGUAUAGUUCACCAAUUAAUAAUUACUAGCUAGAGAUGCCAUAACAAUCAUUAUUAAUCAGAGAGAACAAUUAUUGCAUAGAUAAAUACCUGCAGCCUGAGAAAGCACCCAAUUAUGAUCAUCAUAAUCAACUCGCCACACAAAGUAACCACGUAACUUCUUCUCCUUAGCAUAUGCAACCUUCAUUCUAACGGCCUCGACAUCAUCAAAACCAAACCAAAUCUUCUCAAUCGAGCAGUAAUUGACCUCAUAAGUUGAAUUGUACAUAACUUGGACAUCAGGGCCAUAGGUCUUGAUGUGAUUCUUGAUUUCCUUAUAAGUCACAAGGCCGCUAUCAUGCAAAGCUGGUCCUGCUGCUGCUGCAACAAUACCAUUGUCUUCAGGUUUCACAAGCGUCCAUGCAUAGCCAUAGAAAGGCAAACACAUAACCAACUUAUCUGCCGAUAAUCCUCUGUCAAUCCAUGCCUUUAAAACCUGAUCGGUACUUCUAACAAAGCCGCCGCUACUUGAGCCAUAGAGAGCCGCAGGUGGCGCCGUGAAGUUUGUUGACACAGGCUCGUAGUAGCUAGCAGUAACCGCAUGAACCCAAUUCAAGUUUCGUUCUAUCGAAUUCAAAAGAUAUGAAUUCGCUGGUGGUGAAUAAUGAAAUCUUGCGGUCAAGAUCAGCUGGGAUUGCUGGCGACUAGAGUUUUUUGCCUCUAAUUUUGUAGCAGCAAUUCGCCACUCGUCAAAAAGUAAACCAAUAUUGAACAAAUCGGUGCUUGUGUUUGGAGCUGUCCAAGCAAAGUCUAGGCCCUGAAAGCCAUAAAGCCUAGCUAUUCUUAUUGAAGAGUCGAUGAAAGAUUUUCUGUGAGAAGAAUUGCUCACCAUUGAAGAAUAAAUAGAAUAGUUUGUAUCCAUUCCUUGUCCAAUGGAGAGAAGUAUAGUGAUUGAUGGGUUCUCUUUUUUCACAGUGUCUACGAAUUUGGCGAUUUGAUUUUCAUCGGAUGGUAAUGAUAAAGAUAGCUGGUAAGUGGUGGAAUUGAUAUCAGCGUAAGAGCAAAUAAGGUGAGUGAAGAGAUCAUAAUUUAUGCCCGAAAUGGUGGACACUUCGCUUGAAUCCAAGUAACCGACCCUGAUCCACGGUUUUGCUUUCGCGGGAUAAAAUUCUGAAUAGAAUAACAUGUGGAAGAUGAUGCUGAUAAUUAUGGAUGCCAUUUGAGACUUUGUUAGGAAUGGAAAUGGAUCCACACAAGAGAAAUUAAAUAAACACUAGUUUCACAGAUCAUUUAAGUACUUAUGUAAACUAUUAACUUAUAGGUUCAUUUCGUUCCAAAAAAAUCUUAUGUGCUUCUGAUAGGGAAACAUACAUUGCAUGUUAUGAUGAUGAUAGGCGAUGCGACCAUUGCCUGAGAACUAAGAUUUUCUUCCAUCGCUUGGGUGACCUUUCACGAAGAAAAAUGAUGUUUUGAUUUACAUUUGGUUAAACUGAUGACAAAUUUCGGGCCAUAAAUAUCACUAUUGUUUUAUUAAAUAAUAAAAAAAUUAAUUUUACAUGUACGUUGAAAGUUAAUAUUGCAAUCACCAACAAGUGCGUAGAUCAACUGACAAGGGGUUGUUCUAGCUUAACCAAGGUCCUUGGUUCGAGACUUGAGAAUGCAGCUACGUUAAAUACUUGUUGGGAGAGUUUUGUCAUCCUAAUGGCCUUACACGGCUCGAAUCUGAAUUAGAGUUUUGUCACCCUAAUGGUCCUACACGGCUCGAAUCUGAAUUAGUCGAGACCCACUGAUACCAAAUGGCUUCAUAUACCAAAGAAAAAGUUAAUAUUGCAGUCUUUUGAGACUGUGUUGACGUUUAUUCGGUUCGUUUAUUAUAUAUUCCCGUUUUUCUCCCUGUCUGUUUGCUACAGUGCUCUUACAAGGAUAGCAUCUUUAAUGCACCUCAGAAGUAGUUAAGAAAGUCUUGAUAAAAAACCAGACAUUUUCUAUCUACUCAAAACGUAGUUAUUGGACUAAUUAAGAUUCUAAUCCCUUUAAUAAAUAUUCAAAAAGGGUUACUGUCACUACUCAGUCCUUGUUGUUUUAUAAAAAAAAAAAAAAAAGAUAUUUAAAGAGGCAUCACAUAAAUCCUUCCUAAUUACAUUUUGUUUCAUUCAAGUUGUUGACUUAAUUUGACUGCCUGGAAAAAUUAGUAAAGAGGUAAAAAUAAAAAAAAAGGUAAAUUCUAGUUAUUAGACUAAAUAUAUAGUAUAAAUUUGCAGCAACUAGCAAAAAGUUUAGAAUAUGAAAAAUCCUAUUUCAUUUAAAAAACAAUGAAAAUUCUAAUCAUUUUAAAAAAAAAAAACUCUGAAAGUUUGAAAAACUAAGAUUUUAAGAUCCUUUUACAAUAACCAUAAUUAACACAAAUUUCCGAAUUAUUAUUACAUAAUAAAAUUUUACUAAUAGAAAUAAGAAAACAAAACAAAUAGCACUCAAAUCGGAUAUAUAAAAAAAAAUCUUGAAAUAAAUAGAAAAAAUAAGAAAAUAACUAAAACUUGCAAAACGACCAUGAAAGAAAUGAAAUUUCCGGCCGAACCAAGGGGCCAAUGUGCAUAGUAUUAUUGGACUAGAUUUAUCAGACCACAAGCUUCAAAACAAUAUAUUAUAUUUCCUAAAUGGACACAUGUAGGUUAAGUUACUCAAUUGUAUUAGGAGCUGUCCAAGCAAAAUCUAGGCCCUCAAAGCCAUAAAGCCUAGCUAUUCUUAUUGAAGAGUCGAUGAAAGAUUUUCUGUGAGAAGAAUUUCUCACCAUUGAAGAAUAUAUAGAACAGUUUGUAUAUCUUCCUUGUCCAAUUGAGAGAAGUGUAGUGAUUGAUGGGUUCUUUUGUUUCACAGCGUCUGUAAAUUUGGGGAAUAUUUGAUUUCCAUCAAAUGGUGAUGAUAAAGAUAGCUGGUAAGUGGUGGAAUUGAUAUCAGCGUAAGAGCAAAUAAGGUGAGUGAAGAGAUCAUAAUUUAUGCGCGAAAUGGCGGACACUUCGCUUGAAUCCAAGUAACCGACCCUGAUCCACGGUUUUGCUUUCGCGGGAUGAAAUUCUGAAUAGAACAACAUGUGGAAGAUGAUGCUGAUAAUUAUGGAUGCCAUUUGAGAGGCUUAAGCUUCUUAAUUACCACUUCGAUGGGAAUGGAAAUGAAUGCACACUGACACCAGACACAAUAGAUGAGAAAGUACAACGUCACACACUCAAGAAAUCACAAGCUCACCACCACAGCAAACAACAAAAGGAUACAGAAAAAUAUUCACCACCUAAAGUUGUUAAGCUACGGAUACAGAGCUUAAAACACUCACCACUCAAUGGAAUCCACCAAAGAGAUACAGAGUUUGAUAAUAGCUCAAAGUUCAUUCAAUUUCUAAAAUUAAUCUUCGUCCUUUUGUUACAACUACAUAAGCUUAAAUAAUUUUCUUGGAACAAUCCUCCAAGCAUAGAUUUACUACAAAGAAACCCUUCAAAUAACUUGACUUUAAAGACCAACAUUAAAGCUAGACAUUAAUAAAACAUUAGUAUGCUUAAAACACAACAAAGAACAUUAAAAAAAAUCUAAGUCCCGAAAUAUUCUUCUUGACUCAAAACUGAACAGUCUGCACUUAACUGAUCAUAACUUACUGUAGAAAACUCCAAAUUUAGAUUAGUAAAAUUCAUUGGAAAGCUAACAGAAAUAUCUUUCCAAUGAUGUAUGGCUCGAAAAUUAAUUCGAUCUCAUGCAGUACAGUUUAAUUCCAAAAGAUGCCCCUUCUGCACAGAAAUUCUGCUCACUUGAUUAAUGUAAGAACUUGAGCUGCACUUGGUAUAACUUGAUUACCAAAUAUUUCAAACACUCCUGUGUUACACACUAAGAGAAAUUAAAUAAACACAAGGUUCACAGUUCAUUGAGCUCUCAUGUUAACGUAUAGGUUCAUUUCGUUGCAAAAAAAAAAAAUCUUACGUGCUCCUGAUAGUGACACAUACACUGCAUGUUAAGAUGAUGAUGGGCGAUGCGACCAUUGCCUAAGAACUAAGAUUUUCUUCUACCGCCUGGGUGACUUUCCAUGAAGAAACAUGAUGUUUUGAUUGACAUUUGGUUAAACUGAUGACAUAUUUUGGGCUACAAAUAUUAGUAUUGUUUUAUUAAAUAAAAAUAAUAAUAAUUUUACGUGCAUGUUGAAGGUAAUAUUGCAGUCUUUUGAGCCUGUGUUGAAUUUCAUUCGUGUGCGUUCAUUUAUUAUCCAUCCCCUUUUUUCUCUGAGUCUGCUAGCCGUAGUCAUCUUAAAACGAUAACAUGUUUAAUGCAUGUAAAUGCACCUCAGAAGUAGUCAAGAAAGACUUGAUCAAACCAGAAAAUUUUCCUCUUAACACAGACGUAGUUAUCGGACUAAUUAAGAUUCUAAUCCAUUUAAGAAAUAUUCAAAAAGGGUUAUUGUCACUACUUUAGUCCUUGUUGUUUUAUUAAAGAAAGAAAAAAAAAAGAAUAUAUUUAAAGAAGCAUCACAUAAAUCCUUCCUAAUUACAUUUUGUUUCAUUCAAGUUCUUGACUUAAUUUGACUGCUUGGAAAAAUUAGUAAAAAGGUAAAAAUAAAAAAAAUGUAGAUUGAUAUUAAGGAAUUCAGCAAGCAAGCUACAAGAAUAUCCAAAAGCGUGUAAUUUAUGUUUAAGGAAAUAAGUGGAGAUAGAGAUGAAAUUGUAAAUUCAUCCCAAUCUUAAGUGGUUUAAUUCAAGAUGUAUGUUAGCUACAAGCACAGUAAGCAUGGUGAUGUCUCUCUUUAACGCAGGGGACACAACAAAAACACUGUAUUUCUACCCUUUUAAAAAAUUCCAAUAAUAUGUACACGUUAUAUAUAAGAUAUAAAAAUCAUUACUUUUAGUAUAAGAUAUAAAAAAAAAAUCAAUUAAUAACCAUUAGAGAAUAAAAAUUUAUGUAAUUGAUGCAGAUAAAUGGAAUCAAGUAGUAACAUUUCCUUCUCAUUGAAGAGAAAAGAUUUAAAAAAAAAAAGGGGAACGCAAACAUGACAAUUUUUUUUAUCCGCACACGCCAUGAUAAUCGAUAAUCCGAUAUACCAACCGCGUCUAAUUGUCUGAAUUCUCCAGCUUACCAAGCUUGCUCAAUCGCACCGACAGACACUGACAAUGGGAGAUUAAUCACCACUCGCAGUAUUCGACGCGUGAAGGACACAUUCACCAAUAAUUUAUAGCGGACAGUAGCAUUCCCGAUGCUGCACGGAGAAAAAUAGUUGGAUUUGCGUAAGUUAAAUUGACUUGACUCGAGAGAGUGAAGAAUGGUGGUGGUUGCUGUUAAGCAGUCAGUACUUCUGGCGACUGCUUGGCUUACACGCAGUUCUUGGGGGUGUCAUUUGACUGUGAAAAAGAAUUUUGGCUUUAUUGAUAUCAUGUUGGAUUUGGAAUUUUGGAUGGCUUCGUUUGGACCAUAAGACGCUAUCUCAUCCAUAACACGUUAGCAGUCCUUCUCACGGGAGAAAAACUGGGGUGGGAUUGAGCAAGAUUAUAUGAGUCCUCGAAGUGUCACUUACAAAUUUUUAAUUAUAAAUGACUGCCGAAUAAUUAAUCAAAAUUUUAUUAUUUAUGGUUAUAAUUAGAAUGAUAAGAAAUCAAUUCGAUGUUAUUCUUUGUGGCUCUGCUUAGAAUACUAAAAAAUCAAGUCGACUUACUUAUCUUUAUGUUGAUCAUUACAGGCCUUUUGAAUUUUUUAUCUACUUUAGUUGUAAGUAAUAUAACUUCACUUUUUUUUCUUUACUUUGGUUUGGUUUUCUUUAUAACUCAUAAAAAUUUUCUCGUUAAGAUUGUAUGAACCAAUUGAAACUUCAGAUUUGUAUGAACCAAUUGAAACUUCAGAUUCAUACUAGAAUUAUGAUGAUUCAAUAAAACCUUCAAAUUAAAUUCACAUAUUCCAUGAGGGAGAACCCUUGGAUUACAUUUGUUCAAGUUUAUGCUUUGAGUAAAAUAAAAGUAGAAAUAGGAAUUUGAAAGAAGAAAUUUAGUUAUAAAAAAUUAUCAAAUAAUUAAUUGUUUGGCAUUUAUUUUAUGGGUCCCAACCCAUGUGAUCCGCCAAAUGAGACGUCUUAUGUGAUUGGUUAUGCCAUGGUGCGCUAGCCACAUUUAAGUUUCUCUCUUCUUAUGGAUAUAACUGUAUAUGGGUGGCGUUAUAUAGUGCCCCACAUGGGCUCAUUAAAAUUAUUUUAUGUGCAUUUUAAACAUACCCUCUUUAUUGAUUUGAAACACCAAAAAUACCUCUCUUAAAUUUUAAAAAUAUAAAAAAAAAUUACGUGUUAAAACAAUGCUUGAUGUCUCUAGCCUAACAGUUAGCACACCUAUUGUAUACACUUUUACUUUUUUCUUCUCUAAUUUUUUACUCCUCUUUUCUCUAAUUCUUCACACUUCACUACUCUUUUAUCUCUAAAAAAAUUAAGCAAUCUCUAGAAGCUUAUUACUAAUUUUUUGAUCAAAUUACUUAUAUAAGUACUCUUGAUUGAUUAACACUUCUUUAAUUUUUUUUGGGGAUUUCUCUUAGAUGAAAGAAUUAAGGUUAUGUUCUAAAAAAAAUUUAACUCCCAUAUUAUGGUUUUGAUAAUGCGAUUAUCCUUAAAUUUUUCAACAUAUUAAAAUACUUUGAAACAACUGUAAAUGUGUUGAAUGAAAUAUUCUAAUAAAUUUAUAUUUUGGUACUUAUUAAUUAUUUAACUUUUUUCUUAAAAUUACAUUACUAUUUCAGCUUAGCCCUUGUGACAUUAAAUUCCUGAUAGCGCCACUAAAUGUAAGUUUUAAACUCAUGUUCGAUUUCUCCCAUGUUCAAACUCUACCUUUAAUUUAUAUUUCAAUUUUGUGGCCUACUUUUGAGUUUCUAAUUUCACAUAGAAGGCAUGUUAAACUUACCUUAGAUGCAAUAUUAAGAAAUCAAAUACACCAUGUGCAUUAGUGGGGGCGAAAAAAAAAAGAAAAGAAAAAGUCUUUUAUUGGUAAAAGAUGAAAGCUCUUCGGCACUGAUCAGAAGAAAAAUCAUUCUCCAUACAAUGAGCAAAACAAAGUCCAAUUCGCAUUGCAUAGAAGUAAGACCGAAGCAUUGGACUAAAAGCAUACACUAGUCUUAUUUUUCGUUACUGAUAACAUUUUUUUUCCCCUUAUAUUAUCACCUUAAUUAAGAAAAAUAAUAAUUUGUUUAACUAUUUGCGAAAAAGGAUGGCAAUAUACAAUAUUAUUGUGUUGAUGACCUUGAAAGCCAAUUCUUUUGAAACAGAAAAACUGUUUUUGUGUUUUGAUUAUGUUAAGCAAAUGAAUGGUCUUUAAGAGUUAUGAAAAUGUUAUCAAUAAAAUUACAAACUCUUAAGAGUUUAUAGAUGUAGUUAGUGAUAUUACAUUACAUUAAUUAAUACAAUACAAACUGUUUACUAAUAGAGCCUCAAGAGAGUAAUUCAUUAUUUAGUUGGCAAAUUAAACAACUGCAGCAGUCACUAGCAGCCUUCCAUGAGCUAGCAUAGAUCAAUUGUUCAUUUACCAACCAAUUGUGAAAUUGUUACAUCAUUACUUGAACAUAUUUCCAAUCCAAUCAUGGCUUUGUUUUGUUCAUCUUCAUAAGCUUUGUUUGAGAAACUUGCAGGCUUCUUUGGAGUCAUUAUAUCAGCUGUAUUCUCAUUUUCGAGCAUCGAAGAAAUUUCCAGUAUAGAAGACCUCUUGUUUGGGUUCUCCUGAACACAUAGCAAAGCUACUUGGAGACAUGUCAAUAAUUUCCACGAGGAAUUCGUAUCAUCUAGUGAUGGAUCCAUUAACUCCACGCCUUUCCCAUCCUUCCACAACUCGUAUGCCUGAAAACAUCAAAUAAGUUAUCGAGUUACAUUCCAUUGAUUAGCACUAUAAUGUUUUGAUUCAGUGUGUAUUAGAAAGGGGGUUAUGAAGAAACUUACAUACUCUACAAGGCUUAGAUUUUCAUUUUGACCAUAUCGAAUGAAAAGUCUUCUUCCACUUAUAAUUUGUAGAACCAAAACUCCAAAACUGUAGACAUCAGAUUUAGUGGAGUAGACUCCUCUUCCAAUAUAUUCAGGAGGAAUAUAGCCUCUAUAGUAUCGAGUAAUUACAAAUGUUACUAAAACUAUUUGACGUAAAAGAUUAAGUUGAUUGGUAAAGGUUCAACAAUAAUAUUAAAGACAAGUCAGAAAAAAAAUAGAAAAAUAUAUACUUACUGGGUUCCAACAAUUCGAUUUGUGUUUGCUUCAAGAUCAUCUUUCACGAAAAUUCUAGCCAAGGCAAAAUCUGAUAUUUUAGGUUUCAAAUCUUCAUCCAACAAAAUAUUACUAACUUUUAAGUCUUGAUGAAUAAUUGUUAAUCUAGAAUAUUCUUGGAGAUAGAGAAGCCCCUGAAUAAUUCCUUGAAUGAUAUGAAUACGUUUUUUUCCAAUCCAAAAUAAACCUUCUGAUGGGAUCUGCAUCAAAUGUAAAUUUAGUUGGACGGUCAGUACCAUUAGCAUUUGGAGACGAGAAAUGCAAAUUGAGGCACAAAAAUUAGAAAUUAAGCAGUUAAGCACAUACAAAAAAGGAAAUAGUCUAAGCUUCGUUUUGGUAUAUACUCAUAGAUGAGCAUAUAUUCUUGUGUGUCAAUGCAAAAACCCAAAACUCUGAUCAAAUUUACGUGUUGAAGCUUUGCAGUAAGCAUAACCUCAUUCUUGAACUCCUCAAAUCCUUAUGUGGAUGUCUUCGAUAGUUUCUUCACUGCUAUUAUUUGUCCAUCAGAUAAUACACCCUGCAAGCACCCCCCAAAAUAUAUGUUUUUUUAAAAAUCAGUGUGUUCACACAUGUUGAAAAGUCAUGCACGUGACAUUGAAAUUCAAAAAUGAAUGCAAAAUUUCAAAUGGCUACCAAACAUUUGAAGAAAAAAUGGAAAGUUGGCAAAUUUGUCAAAUUUGCCAAAUGGACACCAUUGACUAUUGGCUUAGGUUAUGUGGAAUAGUAAAAGGGUUGGUGCAAUAGUGCCAUUAUUUUCCCUAUAAAUAGAUGGCACUUCUUCCAUUCUAAAUCAUCCCAAAAUUGUUAAGCUUAUAAGUUUCUAAGCUUUUGAGAGAAGUGAGAGAAGUGUGUCUGAGGAAUUUAUCUUUCCUGCAGAGUGUGAGAGUACUGGGUAUAUUUGGGUUUCUGGGAAGUGAGAUUCGUUACUCAAAUAUUGUAUUCUAUUAAUUGUUAAAUAAACAAUUAUUCUUUCUUGCCUUCGUGGAUGUAGGUUUAAUUACCAAACCACGUAAAUUCUUGUGUCCUUUAUUUUUCAGUAAUUAUUUGGUGCGCUUGAUUCCGCAUUCCGCGCACAACAAGUGGUAUCAGAGCCGACGGUUCGUACUUGGGGGGAUACGGUACUAUUCACGUAUACGGUACUGUUCACGUAUACGGUAAUGUUCAUGUAUACGGUACUAUUCACGAAUACGUUGGAGACGGCCAUUUGUACUUGGGAGACAGUCUAUUGUAAGUAGUGUGUAUUUUUGCAUGUCUAGGAAAGUUCUGUCAAAAAAGGCGAUAAGAGUCUAAGGAUUCUGGUUUUUAAUUGGGACCGAAUUCCCGUCCAGUUUUCUGGGAACUUUCCUGGUGCAUUUAUUCACGCGAAAUUAACAUCAUAGAGGCUGUUUUUCAAGUGGAAAUAGUUCGUUGAGAAAAAUCGUAGAAGGUGAAACUUCCAGAAUUGGGGAGAGAUCUACCGAGACUAUUUCAGGAGACAUUUCAGGUGGGAGGCGAGAUUUGUCAAAUCGCUAUUCAGCACCUGUUAUAGGAGGCCAGAAGAUCGAUGUUGAAAAGUUUGAUGGGAAAAUCAACUUCGGCAUGUGGAGGCGCGAAGUUAUGGAUGCCCUUAUUCAAAUCGAUCUCGAUGUUGUCCUGAAAAAUAAAAGACACUUGUAUGAUGAAGAAAUUUGGGAUCGUAUGAACGAGAAAGCCUGUGGUCAGAUCAGAUCUUGUUUGACCAAGGAGGUGAAAUACUUGGUGAAAGAUGAGGAGUGUGCAGUGACUUUGUGGCGUACAUUGGAAGAGAAGUACCUGGUGAAAAGUCCUGAAAAUCGUCUUCAUGCAAUGAGCCAAGUAUAUGGCUUUCGAAUGAAGUCUGGGGUGUCAAUGCACGAUCAUGUUUCAAGAUUUAAAAAGUUACUUGCUGAUUUGAAGAAUCUUGAUGAAGAUAUUAAAGAUGAAGUCAAUGCUAUGAUUCUGUUACACUCACUACCAGAGGAAUAUAGCCAUUUUGUGACUACUUUGAUAUAUGGGAAGAGUGUGAUCGUCUUUAAAGAUGUUUGCACAGCAUUGACUAGUUUGGAGAUUCGGAAUAAUGAUAAAAAUUCUGAACGAGCAUCGUCUGAAGCUUUGGUGAGCAGAGAUUGGGCGAUGGAGAAAAAGAUAAAUGGUGGUGGAAAGAAUUCUCGAUCCAAAUCGAGAAGCAGAAAUAUAGCUCGAGAUGAGUGUGCCUUUUGUCAUGAAAAGGGCCAUUGGAGGAAAGAUUGUCCAAAGGCUCAAAAGAGAGAUGGGAAAAAACCAGCAUCAGCAAACAUGGCACGGAAAGAUGAGGACUCUGAUUAUUCACUAAGUAUCACUCCUGCAGCAUAUGUGGCUAGUUCGAGUGAGUGGAUACUUGAUACUGGAGCAACCUAUCAUUUGUGUCAUAUUAAGGAAUGGUUUACGGAUUUUCGUAAUCUGGAAUCCGGUGCAGUUAUGAUGGGGAAUAAUCAACCUUGUCGCACAAUGGGGAUAGGAACAAUUCGGCUCAAAAUGUUUGAUGGAAUGGUCAGAGAACUCAAAGAGGUUAGAUUUGUUCCAGAGAUAAAGAAAAAUCUAAUUUCUGUGGGUGCUUUGGAAGCUAAAGGUUACAAAGUUACCAUUGAAGAUGGCACAAUGAAGUUUACACAUGGGGCUAUGGUGAUUCUGCAAGGGGUUCGGCGUCACAAUCUGUACUAUUUGAAAGGAGGUACAACUGAUGAAGCAAAUGUUGUUGAGGCGCACAGUGACACCACCAAGCUAUGGCAUGUACGACUGGGACAUGCAGGAGAGAAGUCUUUGCAAACUCUGAUGAGGCAUGGACUCUUAAAAGGUAUCAAAACCUGUAAAUUAAAUUUCUGUGAGCAUUGUGUAGUAGGCAAAAAAACAAGGGUCAAGUUUGGUACAGCUAAUCACGAUACUCGUGAGAUCCUUGAAUAUGUUCAUAGUGAUGUAUGGGGACCAACCAAGACUGCAUCAAUUGGUGGAAGCCAUUAUUUUGUUAUAUUUGUUGAUGAUUUCUCUAGACGUGUAUGGGUGUACACCAUGCGAGCAAAGGAUGAGGUUCUAGAGAUUUUCGUGAAGUGGAAGAAAUUGGUGGAGACUCAAACUGGCAGAAAGAUCAAAGUAUUACGAUCUGAUAAUGGGGGUGAAUAUACUUCUGAUCCAUUCUUGCAAGUAUGCCAGAACGAGGGUAUUAAAAGACAUUUCACAGUGAGACAUACUCCGCAACAGAACGGUGUGGCUGAGCGUAUGAAUCGUACUUUACUGGAGAAGGUACGAUGUAUGUUAUCUAAUGCUGGUUUAGAUAAAAAGUUUUGGCCUGAAACUGUGAGCUACGCAAGUCACUUGGUAAAUCGGUUGCCUUCUGCUGCAAUUGGAGGUAAAACUCCUAUGGAAAUGUGGUUUGGAAAGCAUGCACAAGACUAUGAUUCCCUUCGUGUAUUCGGGUGUCCAGCUUAUUAUCAUGUCAAAGAUGGUAAACUGGAUCCUCGUGCUAGAAAAUCUAUCUUUGUGGGAUUCAAAGGUAGAGUAAAGUGCUUCAAGCUUUGGGAUCUCGAAGACAAAAAGUUUGUGUGUAGCAGAGAUGUCACAUUUGAUGAAGCUUCAAUGAUAAAAGCUUCAAGUUCUCAGCAGGUGGAGAACAAGACCACAUAUGUAUUGCAGCGGGUGGAGUUUGAUGCAACUCCAUAUGUACCAGUUAGUUCUACAUCAAAGAAUGGUUCAACUAUGGAGGUGACACCUAAAGUUGAAGAAGAGGUUGUUUCUUCUGAUGUCCCACAAAAUGAAGAAACAAUUGAUGAUGUAGAUGAUGAUGAUUUUAUAGCAACAAGGAGGCCAAGAAGAGAGAUAAAGAAACACGGAUGGCUUACUAAAGAUAUGGUGGUAGCCUAUGCACUUUCAGUUAUUGAUGAUGACAUCCCCAAUACUUUCGGUGAAGCAUUACGCAGUAAUGAAAGUGAUCAGUGGAAGCUAGCCAUGGAGGAAGAGAUGAAAUCUCUCCAUCAAAACCAGACUUGGGAACUUGUAAAGUUACCAAAGGGGAAAAGGGCUAUUGGCAAUAAAUGGGUCUACACCAAAAAGCAAGGAUCUCCGAAUCAAACAACUCCUCGAUACAAGGCAAGGCUCGUGGCAAAAGGUUUUGCUCAAAAGGAAGGUAUUGACUACAAUGAAGUUUUGUCUCCAGUUGUAAAACAUACUUCCAUUCGUAUCCUACUUGCCUUAGUUGCAGAAUAUGAAUUAGAGUUGGCUCAGUUGGAUGUUAAGACGGCGUUCUUACAUGGAGAUUUGGAGGAGGAAAUCUACAUGAUUCAGCCUUGUGGUUUUAGAGUUGCUGGAAAGGAGAAUCAUGUGUGUAGGUUGAUUAAAUCUUUGUACGGACUGAAGCAAUCGCCAAGGCAGUGGUAUAAAAGAUUUGAUCAAUUUAUACAAGGGCAGAAAUUCACCAGAAGUGAACACGAUCAUUGUGUUUACUUUAGAAGACUACCAGAUAGAGCUUUCAUCUAUUUGCUACUCUAUGUCGACGAUAUGCUUAUAGCUUCGAAGAAUAGAGAUGAGAUCGAAAGAUUAAAGAAGCAGCUGGCUUCUGAGUUCGAGAUGAAAGACUUGGGUGAUGCACAGAGAAUACUUGGGAUGGAGAUUUGUAGAGACAAGAAGAAUGGGAGCGUAUGGUUGACUCAAAAGUCUUAUUUGAAGAAAGUGCUAGAAAGAUUCGGUAUGGAUGACAAAACUAAACCGGUAUGUACACCUCUAGCUCCUCAUUUCAAAUUAGGCUCUUCUUCAUGUCCUAAAUCUCAAGAGGAGCGCGAUUACAUGGCUCGUGUUCCAUAUGCUAGUGCUGUGGGUAGUCUUAUGUAUGCUAUGGUAUGUACAAGGCCCGAUAUAUCUCAAGCAGUAAGCAUGGUUAGUAGAUACAUGCACGAUCCGGGUAAAAGUCACUGGCUUGCAGUAAAGUGGAUUCUUCGAUAUCUGUAUGGGACAGUUGAUGUUGGGUUAUUGUUCAAGAAGGAUUGUGGUCAACAAUGUGUUGGCUAUUGUGAUUCUGAUUUCGCUGGAGACCUUGACAAGCGAAGAUCAACAACGGGCUACGUAUUCACAUUGGGUGGAGGUCCAGUUAGCUGGAGGUCAAUUUUGCAAUCGACAAUUGCUCUGUCCACUACGGAAGCAGAGUACAUGGCAACAACUGAAGCUGUAAAGGAAGCUAUCUGGUUGAAAGGCUUGUUAGGUGAUUUGGGAGUAAUCCAGGAGAACAUUACGGUCUUCUGUGAUAAUCAAAGUGCGAUAUUCCUUGCGAAGAAUCAAACAUAUCACGCUCGGACAAAGCACAUAGAUGUGAAAUAUCAUUAUGUGAGAGAGAUUAUCGAGAGCGAUGUUGUGUUGUUGAGAAAGAUCGAUACCAAAGAUAAUCCAUCAGAUAUGUUGACGAAGGUAGUUUCUGGAGUUAAGUAUCAACAUUUCUUGAAAUUAAUUCAAAUCCUUCGAUUGUGUUAAAGAUAUGUCCUUCGGGAAUUUUGAACUACGGUUGGCUUGAUCCCAAAUUUUGGGUACGUAGGCAGUCGAAACGACACAGCCAUUCUGGAUCCUUAUUGAAGGAUCACUUUGGGGAUGAGGGUUCGUUGGUAGUCGGCUCAGAUUUGGACAAAUUUUCGCCGAGGUGGAGAAUUGUUGAAAAGUCAUGCACGUGACAUUGAAAUUCAAAAAUGAAUGCAAAAUUUCAAAUGGCUACCAAACAUUUGAAGAAAAAAUGGAAAGUUGGCAAAUUUGUCAAAUUUGCCAAAUGGACACCAUUGACUAUUGGCUUAGGUUAUGUGGAAUAGUAAAAGGGUUGGUGCAAUAGUGCCAUUAUUUUCCCUAUAAAUAGAUGGCACUUCUUCCAUUCUAAAUCAUCCCAAAAUUGUUAAGCUUAUAAGUUUCUAAGCUUUUGAGAGAAGUGAGAGAAGUGUCUGAGGAAUUUAUCUUUCCUGCAGAGUGUGAGAGUACUGGGUAUAUUUGGGUUUCUGGGAAGUGAGAUUCGUUACUCAAAUAUUGUAUUCUAUUAAUUGUUAAAUAAACAAUUAUUCUUUCUUGCCUUCGUGGAUGUAGGUUUAAUUACCGAACCACGUAAAUUCUUGUGUCCUUUAUUUUUCAGUAAUUAUUUGGUGCGCUUGAUUCCGCAUUCCGCGCACAACAACACACACACACGUAGCUUGCACUAAUUAAUUAAUAAGCUGAGAGAUAACCAAGCUACCGAUACAUAACCUUGUAAACAGGACCAUAUCCACCCUCCCCGAGCUUAUUUUCAAUUAAAAAUCUAUCCGUGGCCACCUCAAUAUCAGCCAAGCUAUAUUCUCUCAGAUCAGGAUCAUUGCUGUUAAAAUCUCCAGCAUCCGCUUGUCUAUUUUCGCUGUCCUUUGAUGCUUUGGCUGAGUCAAUUACGGUCCAAUUAAUAUCAACCAAGAGAAAGAAAGCUAAUUUAAGUGAAUCGCCCACUUCUUCAUCUGUGUUAAAUGGAAUAGAAGUAAAAAUAUUCCUAAUCCCGUGUAGAAGAAGUUACCUUUUAAUUUGAGGUUUUUCAUCCAGCAGUAGUAAUACAGCAAAAAGCCUAUUAGAAGAAUACAAGCUGCAGUUAUAGGCAAAACAAUUGCCCAUAAUAGCCGCUUAUUUUGUCGAUUCCUUUCAUCCUCUUCAGCUGAAAAGUCAAAUCACUUUGUGUUAUUUAACCACUGAUGGUCAAAUAAAGAUCUUAAUUGAAGUCAUUAUGCAGAGAACUGAUCGAAUGGGUAGCAGGCAGUGAGUGAGGCUUUGCAUUUGCUUACCUGCAGCUUGAGAAAGCAUCCAAUAAUGAUCACUGGAAACUUGCCACACAUAGUAACCACGUAGCUUCUUUUCCUUGGCAUAUGCAACCUUCACUCUAACAGCCUCGACAUCAUCAAAACCAAACCAAAUCUUCCCAAUCGAGCAGUAAUUCACGACAUAAGUUGAAUUGUACAUUACUUGAACAUUAGGACGAUAGUUCUUGAUGUGAUUCUUGACUUCCUUAUAAGUCACAAGGCCAUCAUCAUGCAAAGCUGGUCCUGUUGUUGCUGCGCCAAUGCCAUUGUCCUCAGGUUUCACAAGCGUCCAUGCAUAGCCAUAAAAAGGCAAACAUAAAACCAAUUUAUCAGCCGAUAACCCUUCCUCAAUCCAUUCCGUGAUUCCAUAUUCAGUAUUAGAGACACUAUUUGGAUC
rnacentral:lncRNA from 1 species